AUGCUACAUGAAGUUCAGACCUUGGCCAAACAGCUCGUACCUCAACAACUCCAGGACAAGAUUUUAUCAGGAAUUGGAAGGCUUCUUGGGGACCCCUCCUCUCAGAUGACUCUUGUCAUUGAUGAAUACAACGGCUACACCAUGAAUCAAAUCUUUGAGGCUUCUCAAAUCUACCUGCAGACCAAGAUCAGCCCAGCAGUAAGUAGGCUCAGGGUUUCCCGAUCUCCAAGAGAGAAGAACCUCUUGGUCACCAUCAGCAACGGUGAAAAGGUUAUUGAUGUAUUUGAGGGAAUUCAACUCAAAUGGGAAAUGGUUUCCAGUACUGAAAAGGUCAUGGGUGGAGACAAGGGCGAACGUAGAUCAAUUGAGCUCAGUUUCCUUAAGAAAAACAUGGAGAAGGUAUUGAGCUCUUACUUGCCAUAUGUGGUGGAGAGAUCAGAAUCGAUAAAAGAAGAAAACAAGGUGGUGAAGCUCUAUUCCCUAGGGAACUUCCAAGGAGGAGCCAUGGUUGGUGGGGGAGCAUGGGGGUCCAUCAAUCUCGACCACCCCUCAACUUUUGAAACAUUGGCCAUGGAUUUGAAGCUCAAGGAGGACUUGAUAAAAGACUUGGACAGAUUUGUAAGGAGGAGGAAGUUCUAUAAAAGAGUUGGUAAGGCAUGGAAAAGAGGGUAUUUGUUGUAUGGCCCUCCAGGCACAGGCAAGACAAGCUUGAUUGCAGCCAUGGCCAACUAUCUGAAAUUUGAUGUCUAUGAUUUAGAGCUCACAAGUCUCCAGAGGAACUCACAGCUUAGAAAGCUCUUAGUCUCCACCAAGAACAGAUCAAUACUUGUGAUUGAGGACAUCGAUUGCAGCACUGAAUUACAAGACAGACAAGCUGGAAGAUACAACCAACCUACCACUCAGGUCAGUUUACAGAGGCAUAUAAUUACCCUAUAAUACAUAAAAUUAGAAAUUCCUCUCGCCCCUUGUAAUAAAUUGUUGUUUUUUUGCUUAUUGACUGACAGCUGACACUAUCUGGGCUGCUUAAUUUCAUUGAUGGGCUGUGGUCAAGCUGUGGGGAUGAGAGGAUAAUAGUGUUCACAACAAAUCACAAAGACAGGAUAGAUCCUGCAUUGCUGAGACCAGGGCGCAUGGAUAUGCACAUCCACAUGUCCUACUGCACUCCCUAUGGAUUUAAGACCCUGGCUUCCAACUACCUUGGAGUAAGCAACCACAGACUGUUCACUGAAAUCGAAAGGCUGAUAACAGAGGUGGAGGUGACCCCAGCCGAGAUUGCAGAAGAGCUCAUGAAAAGUGAGGAAGCUGAUGUGGCCCUUGAAGGUCUCAUCGAGUUCCUCAAGAGGGCCAAGAUUGCAGAAAAUAAAUCAAAUGGUGAGGGAAAAGAAGUUGAUGAACAAGGAACAGAAAGGCGGGAUGUUGUUGAGAGUGAAAAGGUAGUAGAAACAAAGAGGCAGAAAGAAGAUAGUGAAUGGAGAACUAGAGAUUUCUGAUUUUAUGCCAUGCGCAUACUCGUUUUCUGUUGAAGAAAACCAAUCCUGCCUUCUCUGAGGCCUGUAAAACCAUGAACUUCAAAUAGAACCCAUUGAAAUUCAAUGGGGAUGGAGGGCACUUUCCACGAUUCACCCAGGACAGGUAAGUACAUAAAAUGCGGCUGAAACUUUCAUAUAUAUAUUAUCUGGUUUGAGUCUCUUUCUUUUCCUCUCCGAUGUGGGAUUUGUAGCAGUUGCUGAUGAACUUGAAAGAGACAUGGGUAAAAUAAUUAUAAUAAUAACUCUUUUGAAGUUUACAAUACAAUUUAAAUAUAAAUAUUUUUUUCCUUCAAAAAGCACUUUAACAUUACACCGACCUAAAGAUCUCAGAAAAAAUAUCCCUAAUAAAAGAGCAUCACACUGCAUGUUUUCUUAAAAAAGUUAGAAUUAUUUUGUUGAUGUAAGGAUUAUUUUAUUUUAUUUUAGUUAAAUUUCAAAAGAAAAAGAGGAAAAUAGCUUCCAGUUUUGAAAACCAUAACGUUAAUUAAAUGAUUGCUUCUCAUAUAUAUUUCUUUUUCUUUGGAAAAAGUGCUUUUAAAGUGACAUGACAAUAAAAAAAACUAUUGGAGGAGAAUAUUCUAGUCAGAAAAAGUCAUAUUCAGCUCCUUAAAAUGCGAUAUUAAUUCAUUCAAAUUUAAAAUUAAUAAAUGUUUACUAAAUAUUACUAAAAAUGUUUACUUUUAGAGAAAUAUUACUAAAAAUGCCAUUUAAACCCCUAAAAAUGGUUUUUAAAGUUGAGUAUUUUCUUUAACUAAUUGAUAUUGUAAAUAUAUAAAUAAUUUUUACAUUCACACUUUAUAAAAGAUAAAAAUGUUUCAUUUUGAAAAUUUUAUGCAUUAGUUUUAAUUUUUUCAAAUGAAGGAUUACUUUGUAAAUAUUUCUAAAUAUGUUUGAUUUCAAUAAUUGAUAAAUUAUAUGACCAAAAUAUCAUAAAUUGGUAAAUAUCAAUUAUUGGAUUUUAUGAAGAUAAAAUUUAUGAUAUCAAAUAGUAAUGCAUUAUACUUAGAAAUAGAUGAUGUAUUUUUUCUAUUUAAAAUGUAAUUAAUAAUAUAAAAAAUUAAUUAAUAAUGAUAUAUUUAUGAUAAUUUUUUGUUUAAAAAUAUUUAUAAUUUUAUUUAAAAUUCAAUUUUAUUUUAUAUUUAAUAAUUAUAUAAAAGAUUAAAAAAAAUUAAAAGUAAAUCAAAUAUAAUUUAUUUAUAAAAAUUUAUUAAUUUUCACUAUUUUACUUAUUUUACAUAUAUAUAUAUUUAUAUAUAUUGGGAGUGAAACUCGCUUCUUCUCUCAUUCUUCUUCUUUCCUUUGUUUCUCUUCAUUUCCUAUUCUCUAUUCCUCUUUCCUUCUUGUCUUCGUUUCUCUUCCAACAUCCAAACUUUUAUUCACAAAGGUUGAACUGUUUCUCUCUUCUAAAAUCAAAACAUUACUCAUUGAGGCCAAAAUCCAAAUUGUAGUUGUUGUAAAGAUUAUUUGUUAGGGUUUCAGUUUUUGUUUUAAUUUUUCUAUUCUUUUUCAUUUUUUUGCAUUUUGUUCUUUUGUGUUAUUGUUUAUGUUUUGUUUUGUUUAUGGGAAAUCCUAGAAUUUAUGGAGGUUUUGGCUUUGAAAUGCAUCUGAAAAAUCAUAUGGGAUAAAUCCUGAAAUAUCCGAAAAAUGACCAAAAAGAAAAAAAUUUGUCAAAUAAUGUUGAAUUUUUGGUUGAAAUUUUGUUAGACCAAUUUUUUUUUUUUUUUUUUUCCCAUUUUGUGAUUUUCCCUCAUAUGUGAAGAAUUUUUCUUCACGGUGAAGAGAUAAGAACACCCAAGAACACUGAUUGAAAAAUAAUGUCUUUUUUUUUUCUUCUUAGAAUAGUGGCAAAAACACGGAAAACACCAUUUUUUUUGUUCUCUAAAAAUCGAGCUUUAGAAAACACGGAGAACACAUGGGAACAAAAAACACUCUCUUAUCAAACAUGUUUUAUGUAUUUUGUAUUCUCAAAAACAAAAAACUGUUUUUGAAAACACUAACCAAACAAGCCUUGAAUUUCCAAACACCCUUAAGAGCGUCUGAAUUAUAUCUCCAACCACUUUUAAAAGCAUGCCACUUUAUACCUACAAAUGCUGUGUAAUAUAUAUAUUUUUUUUUUUCCUUCAAUUUUUCUUUUCACAUUUUCAAAUGUUUUCACUUUUACAUCACUUUUAAAUUAUUUCUAAAUACUUUUAACUAUUCUUAUAAUAAGUAUUUGUCAAAAUUUGCAUAAAUAAUAUGCACUAAAUUAUAUUUAUACGUAACAAACAUAAUAUUAGAGUAUGAGAAGAAAAAUCAAUAACCCAAAUCAUCAAAUCUAAAAAAAAAUGACAAGAAUAAGGUUUAAUUCUAUGUGAAUCUCACUUUAAUAAAAUUUAUGUGACCCAAAUAUCCAUAUGCAAGACAAAACUAUAAAAUGAUCUCAUAAGAAUAAAGUUUAAUUCUAUAUGAAUCUUACUUUAAUAAAAUUUGUAGGCCUUUUUUUAUGCUAGUUUCCUCUAAUAUGAUAAGAAUAGGAUUUAAUUCUAUAUGAAUCUUCUUCAAUAAUUCUAAUAUCCAUAUCUCCUUCUAUAUCUAAAAUCAAUAUAAUUCUAAUAUGAAAAUACAAAAAAAGAAACAAAAAAUUUCUAAAAAGAUGUUAGAAGAAUAAUGUUUAAUUCUUUGUGAAUCUCACUUUAAUUAAAUUUAUAGGAAUUUUUUUCCCUUUUUUUUUUUUUGUUUUUAACUUAGUUUCUUCUCAUGUCCCUAAUGAAUACCACCUAAGUCUCCAAAUCUAAUAGGAAAUCUAGAAAGAUUUUACAAGAAUAAAGUUUAAUCCCGUGUGGGUCUCACUUUAAUUAAAUUUAUAGGAUUUUUUUUUUAUAGUCUAGUUUGCUCUUAUUUCUCUAAUAAAUCAAUCCCACUUAAAUCUUCAAAUCUAGAAUGAUUUUACAAAAAUAAGACUUAAUUCUAUGUAAAUCUAAAUUUAAUAAAAUUUAUAAAAUUAUUUUUUAUCUUCUUUUUUUCUUAUAUCUUAAAUUAAUAUCACCUAAAUCUCUAAACCUAAGAGAGACUGUGAUAUGCUCCACUGGAUAUGGGAGAAAGGUUCUAAUCCUAUAUAAGUACAGGUUCUAUUAAUCAUGUAAAUAUAUUUUAAAAUUAUAAUGACCAUUUAGAAAAAAUGAAAAAGAGAAAAAAAUUUCAAUUAAAUUAUUUGUAAAUAAAACUUAAACAUAAUAUAAUUUAGAUAAAAGUUUUAAUUAACAUUUGUAAAAGAAACUUAACUCCAAAAACAAAAACAAAAACAAAAAAUUCAAGUGAAUAUUCUAAAAUCAUUAAACAUUCCAAAACAAGGCUCACAAGAAAUCACAACAGAACUUAGCCCUAGCUUAUCCACAUGCCAAAGACCAUUUACACAUUAAAUCCUUAGAUAUUUCAAAAAAAAAAAAAAGGCUCUUAAUAAAACAUAACUGAAUUUAACCAUAGUUCAGUCACUACAAAAAUCAAUUUGUAUUUAAUUUCUAAAUGUUCUAAAAAUUGCUUAAAAUAAAACCAAUAGAACUUAAUCUUUGUUUAGUUAUACUUCAAACACUACUUAAGUUAAUAAUAUAUUUAGUUACUAUAUAUUCAUUUAUUUAGUUACUAACAAGAAAUAGUUUUUUUUUCUUUUUUCCUACUUAAAUGUUUUUUGGAUUUCAACAUGGUAUCAAAGUAAAAUUGAUUUUUGAUGGAACAUUUGGUUUAUGAUCUUAUUUGAGAGAGUUUAAUAUCAUACAUUGUUUUCACAAAUCUAACUAUCAUACACCGCAUGCAUCGACUCAUAACAUUUGUUUUCUUCUCUUUUUCCUUGGUGGUUUUAAUUUCAUUUCUUCUACUUCUUUAAGCAUAAACAUUUCUUUUUUAGUCAUGUUUUCUUCCUUAAGCAUAUAUCUUUUUUAUUCUUGUUAAGUCUCAUAAUGUCUCAAUCUGUACUCAUUCACAUUGAUCAUUUAUUGGAUGAUAUAUAUAGUUUUCCUACAGAUAUUGGUAUUUUGGUUCUUGAUUAUGAAGUUAUUUCCUCUCUUCCUACAACUAAUCUUGCAUCUUUGAGAUUAUGGAUCCUCUUUUGUCACGUUCUUCUCGACAUCUUUCAAGUUAUGACCAAGGAACUUUCUACCUUGUAUAAAACUGAUGCUUGGGAUUUGGUACACUUACCACCUACAUAGUAUGGAUUAUGAGGAGACUUUUAUUCCUGUUACAAAGACGACUAUUAUUCUUACUCUUAUUACUGUUACUACUCUUUUUUCUCUCACUCAGAUGUAUUGUGACAACAAGAAUGUUAUUCAAAUUGCUCACAACUCUAUCUUUUAUAAAAUGACCAAGCAUAUUGAGACUGAUUAUCACCUUACUCAUCAUCACCUUCAACAUACAACUCUCACUUUACCUUUUCCUUCUCUCAAUUAGCAAACUCUUCAUGUUUCUUACGGCCACAACAUGAGUUUGUGAGGAUGUUAAAAGUUAUUUAUACAUUUAGUUAUUAUAUUAAAAUUAUAUAUUUAUUUAUUUAGUUAUUAUAUUAUAAUUAUUUUCCUUUUUUUUAGGAAAGUAAAGUAAAUUAGUCUUUAAUUUCUUUUAUUAAAUCUAUUUAAAUUCUAAUGAUGUUGUAGAAUUUGUAAUAAAAAAUUCUAAUUUUUUUUCUUUUCUUUUCUUUCUUCCUUUGAAUCUAUUUUGGAUUUCAACAUGCAGCACAUCUAAUGAAUUUUUAGCUAAAAUAGUCAAAAUACGUAAAGGACAAAAAUCACAAAAAUGGGGCCAAAUAUGUGACGAACAACAAAUUGAAAUCCUAAAUAUUAUCAAAAUUUUGUUUAAUUAUCUUUUCAUCAUAUUUUAGAAAUUUUUCCAUUUAACGGUUAGUGUUUUACCUUUUAAGUCUAUCUAUUUCAUGCUUCUAGUUUCAUAAAGAAAAAGAAAAAAAAAACCCAAAAAAAAAAAUUCUAUUUUUCAGAUUUUAUUUUUCUCUCCCCUUUUGACUUUUUAUAUAACACAAUCUUUUGAAUUUGACCUAUAAUUUUAUACCAAAACUAUUGAAUUUCUUAAUUUUAUUAAGAAAGACACACUGAAUAACAUUCAUAAUGGGACUCUUAAAUUAUAAAAGAUUAUCAAACAAUAAUAACAAAUUUUAUUGAUGGAUACAACAACAUUCAUUUUUAUUUAUUUGUUUACUGUUUUUUCAAAACGUUUUCUUUAUUGUUAACCAUGAAGGUACGAGCCAUUCAUUCAGCACCAACACUUAAGCCAAUCCAAAUUUGACUUAACCAAUUAGACCCAAAGUUGAAAAAUUAAGGUUAGUUUCAGUUCUGAUUAAGCACAUCAAAUUAAGGGGGUUAAGUUGAAUUUAGGUAAAACAUUUCUUAACUCAAACCGGGUGAAGUUGGCCCAAACUAAAAUUAACAAAAACUAGUAAAGCCAUGUCUAAGAUUUGAUUUUAGAACCCUCAGGAUCCAUCGUUACCUUGAAAUUUAAUUAAAUAUCCUUUUUACAAUUCUCAUUUGUUAUUUUCACUCAUCUUUCGUUUGAAUCAAAAUAAGGGAGAUAAUUACUUGACCAAUUUAUAAAAAUAUUUUAUAAAAUAAAUUUUACUCACCUCAUCAAACGUUGAGGCUGAAUGCACUUAAAGAGUGUUUGUUUUUUUUACCUUUUUAUUGAAAACGUUGCUUUCGGUCUUUAGGAUGUUCGUUUUUCUAAUUUUUUAUGACUUACUAUAAAUUUUUUAUUAAACAAAAAAAACCAAAAUAUUUAAUUUAAAAAAAAAAAAAAAAAGUAACAUGUUAAUUUUUCUUUACAUUUUAAUACUUAAUAAAAAUAAAAUAUUAUAAAAAUAAACAACAUAAUACCUAACACUAUUAAACAUUUUUUAAUUCUAAGUUCUAUUUAGAAUUAAUUAAGAAAAACAAACAAAGAAACAAACAUCAUCUUAAUCAUCAUAAAUUUACUUCUUAUUUUAAAUAAAAUGGUAGAUGUGUGAAAAUAACUAAUAGGAAAAAAUUUUAAUAAAAUUUCAAAUUAAUUAUGGAUAAAUAUAAGUGAAAUUAAUUAUAUUUUAUAAUAUGGAAAUUUUGUUUUAAAACUAGAAUCACAAUUGAGUAUCAGAUGUUAGCCCCUUUUUAGCCAAGAAGGCCAAAGGAGAUCUUUUGUAUGGUAUUAAGGGAGGUUUUCAACCUGUGACGAUCACCAUGAUCUCAAACUUGCACUAAAAUCUACCCAAAUUUAAAAACAAAUUCUUAAACUUGUCUAUAUCUCAAUCAUCCUUAUCAUAAAUUCAUUUUAUUAAAGGUGUUUGAAUAAACCCGUCUCUAUCUUGUUUAUCCUUAUCACAAAUUCAUUCUAUUAAGAGUGGGUCAGUACUUGAAUAAACUUCUCCUAUUAUCAUCCCUAUUUAGGUGUUUCCAUCCCUCUAUUUACAUGUUUCUUUAAAUUCAUUUUACUUUUUUUUUAAAAGAAAAUAAUUUUAAAAUUUAUAAGUUUCUACUUAAUUUAAAUUAAAUGUGAUUUUUUCUUUUCCUUGGAAUCAAACAUAAAGUAAAACUCUUGAUUACAUUUCUAAAUUUUGAAGUUCCUUCCGAUACCUCAAAAGGGACAAAGCUCCUAAACCAUCAAACUUUGUUGUUGUCACUUGUCACAUUGGUGAAGCAUUUAAAUCAUCAUCAUCAUGCAAUAUUACUUUGUGGGUUUCCAUCUGGGCAUGUGAUUUAGCAAAAUAAAACUAAGAAUGGUUAAGGCCAAGUGAGAUUUAUAUUGGACAGUGAACUACAAGAUUUGGAUCACCAGUGGUUGUCACCCAAUUGCCUAGAUAUUUGGUUACUCUAUGGAAUCAAAAGAAGGAUAAUCACUCACAUCAACAUAUUCUGAUCAUUUUAUCGGUUUGACUUGUCAGAAACAAGAAUUUUGCAUCUAUGAUCUAUUCUCAAAGAAGGAUAAUCACUCACAUCAACAUAUUCUGAUCAUUUUAUGGGUUUGACUUGUCAGAAACAAGAAUUUUGCAUCUAUGAUCUAUUCUCAUUUUGUGUGGUAUAUAUUAUAUUUAAUUUCGUUGCCACCAAUGCUGAGGGUUCCAAAGAAGCUUUGUCCCACAGCUUGGUUCUAUAUAUGUGAAAAAGCAAGCUUUCAACACUAUAAAACCUACAAUUUCCUUCUACUCCUUCAUCCAAAUCCAAAGCAUGUUUUCUAUAGUAAGUAUGCCUUCAACAUCAUCGGUUUUAUCAGCAUACACCACCUUUGCUGCAUCAGCAAUGGUGGUUAAAACCAUGCUACAUGAAGUUCAGACCAUGGCCAAACAGCUCAUACCUCAACCACUCCAGGACAAGAUUUUAUCAGGAAUUGGAAGGCUUCUUGGGGAUCCCUCCUCUCAGAUGACUCUUGUCAUUGAUGAAUACAACGGCUACGCCAUGAAUCAAAUCUUUGAGGCUUCUGAAAUCUACCUGCAGACCAGGAUCAGCCCAGCAGUCAGUAGGCUCAGGGUUUCCCGAGCUCCAAGAGAGAAGGACCUCUUGAUCACCAUCAACAAGGGUGAAAAGGUUAUUGAUGUAUUUGAGGGAAUUCAACUCAAAUGGGAAAUGGUUUCCAGUACUGAAAAGGUCAUGGGUGGAGACAAGGGCGAACGUAGAUCAAUUGAGCUCAGUUUCCUUAAGAAAUACAUGGAGAAGGUAUUGAGCUCUUACUUGCCAUAUGUGGUGGAGAGAUCAGAAUCGAUAAAAGAAGAAAACAAGGUGGUGAAGCUCUAUUCCCUAGGGAACUUCCAAGGAGGAGCCAUGGUUGGUGGGGGAGCAUGGGGGUCCAUCAAUCUCGACCACCCCUCAACUUUUGAAACAUUGGCCAUGGAUUUGAAGCUCAAGGAGGACUUGAUAAAAGACUUGGACAGAUUUGUAAGGAGGAGGAAGUUCUAUAAAAGAGUUGGUAAGGCAUGGAAAAGAGGGUAUUUGUUGUAUGGCCCUCCAGGCACAGGCAAGACAAGCUUGAUUGCAGCCAUGGCCAACUAUCUGAAAUUUGAUGUCUAUGAUUUAGAGCUCACAAGUCUCCAGAGGAACUCACAGCUUAGAAAGCUCUUAGUCUCCACCAAGAACAGAUCAAUACUUGUGAUUGAGGACAUCGAUUGCAGCACUGAAUUACAAGACAGACAAGCUGGAAGAUACAACCAACCUACCACUCAGGUCAGUUUACAGAGACAUAUAAUCACCCUAUAAUACAUAAAAUUAGAAAUUCCUCUGGCCCCUUGUAAUAAAUUGUUGUUUUUUUGCUUAUUGACUGACAGCUAACACUAUCUGGGUUGCUUAAUUUCAUUGAUGGGCUGUGGUCAAGCUGUGGGGAUGAGAGGAUAAUAGUGUUCACAACAAAUCACAAAGACAGGAUAGAUCCUGCAUUGCUGAGACCAGGGCGCAUGGAUAUGCACAUCCACAUGUCCUACUGCACUCCCUAUGGAUUUAAGACCCUGGCUUCCAACUACCUUGGAGUAAGCAACCACAGACUGUUCACUGAAAUCGAAAGGCUGAUAACAGAGGUGGAGGUAACCCCAGCAGAGAUUGCAGAAGAGCUCAUGAAAAGUGAGGAAGCUGAUGUGGCCCUUGAAGGACUCAUCGCGUUCCUCAAGAGGGCCAAGAGUGCAGAAAAUAAAUCAAAUUGUCGAGGAAAGAAAGUUGAUGAACAAGGAAUAGAAAGGCAGGAUGUUGUUCAAAGUGGGAAGGUAGUUGAAGCAAAGAGGCAGAAGAUGAGUGGAGAACUAGAGGCUUGUGAUUUUAUGCCAUGCGCAUACUCGUUUCUAUGAAAAAGAAUCAAAAUUAAUACAGGCAAAAGAGGUACGACUCUCUGUAGAAGAAAACCAAUCCUGCCUACUCUGAGGCCUGUAAAAGUAUGAUUGAAUUUCAAUGGGGAUGGAGGGGCAGGUAAGUAUGUAAAAUGUGGUUAAAAUUUUCGUAUGUAUAAUCUGGUUUAAGUCUCUUUCUCUUUCUCUCCGAUGUGGGAUUUGUAGCAGACAUGGGUAAAAUAAUAAUAAUAAUAACUCUUUUAAAGUUUACAAUACAAUUUAAAUAUAAAUAUUUUUUUCCUUCAAAAAGCACUUUGACAUUAUACCGACAUAAAAAUCUUAGAAAGAAUAUCCUUAUUAAAAGAGCAUCAUGUUGUAUUUUUUUUAAAAAAUUUAGAAUUAUUUUGUUGAUGUAAGGAUUAUUUUAUUUUAUUUCAGUUAAAUAUCAAAAGAAAAAUAGGAAAAUAGCUUCCAGCUUUGAAAAGUGAAAACUAUAACUUUAAUUAAAUGAUUACUUCACAUUUUUUUUAUUUUUUUUCCUUCUUUGAAAAAAGUGCUUUUAAAAUGACAUGAGAAUAAAAAAUUAUUGGAGGAGAAUAUUUUAGUCAGAAAAAGUCAUAUUCAGCUCCUUAAAAUGCGAUGUUAAUUAACUCAAAUGAAAAAGGUCGAAAAGAGGAGCGACGCCCACCGUGGGGCUCGAACCCACGACCACAAGGUUAAGAGCCUUGCGCUCUACCGACUGAGCUAGACGGGCUUGUUUGGCUGUUUUCUGUAAGUAAUCUACAUGAAUAUAAUAUAUCAAGCAAGCCACAAAAACAAAUGAGAUGUCGCGUGACCCAUUGAAUCUUUUAGCUUCAAUUCCACGAGUGUUUUUGGCUAUGUUUGAAAAAAAGGUUUUAAAACAAUUCUUAGAAAAUAAGUAAAAAUAACUUGAAAUAAGGGCUAUUUUGGUAACUAUUUUUAAAAAUAAAUUUUUAUUUUCUAAAAUUAAAAAAUUAAAAAAAAAAAACAAAAAAAUACAUUUAACAACUAAAAAAUAAUAAAUAGAUUUUUACUCUUAAAAACAAAAAAUAAUGUGUUUUCAAAUAACAUAUUUUUACUAUUUUCAUUUAAUUUUAGAGGAUUAUUUUAAAAAAAUAAUUACACAAAUACAGAAAUUUGUUAAAAAUAAAGUAUAUAUAAAAAAAAAUGUUAAAAACAUUUCAAACUCUCAAACAAAUUUUUAUUGUACAAAACAUUAAAGAAUAUUUGUCAAAAACUAUUUUUAAAAAUUAUUUUUAAGAAUUGUUUUUUAAAACAAUUACCAAACAAAGUUAUUAUUUAAUUUUUGUUUUCUAAUGGUUAAAUAUGUUUUACAAUUUUUUAUUUUAGAAAAUAGAAAAUUAUCUAUUUUUUUGUUGUUAAAACUUAAAUAUGUUUUACUAUAUUUUAUUUUGAAGGAUAAAAAACUGUUUCAAAAAAGAAUUAUAAAAUAGUGUCUUGGUAACUAUUUUGUCAUAUUUUGUAAAACAAAAACAAAAAUACAUUUGAGAACCUAAAAUAUUAAUAAUUUUUAUAUCCAAUGCUUCAAUUUUAAAAAAAUAAGUAAAAAUAACUUAAAAUAAUUAAAAGAUAUUCAAAACAUUUUAUUUUAUGUUUUUAAGAGUAGAAAAUAAAUAAUUUUUUUAGCUUGACUAUGAAGAAAAAUAAAAACAAUUAGUCAAAAACUUGGGGUUCUUAGUUUUCAUGGCCGACAGAGAGUGCUCCAACAACACACGUGACAAAUGACCGAGAGAUCCACACUUUAAACCCCAUGAUGAAAGCCAAUAUACCAGGAAUAUUUAACCCCCACAAGCCAUUUUCAGAAUGGACUGCUCCUAUCUCUGUUCAUGGUGAGGGGAUUUUUCCUACUGUGAAAGGGCAGAAACUUCAAACAGGGAACAGAAAUCACCUGCUUAGCUUUCAAACGUGUGAAAGUUUUGUUUAGAGCCUCCUCAUAUAAAUCUAACAUACAAAAGGCUCUAACCACUGAAUUACAACAUUUUGUGAUACAUGUAUUCCUACCCAGAACAAACAAGGCGAGAGAAAGAUACAAAAAUCCAUAGAUUACAGGGGCCUGUACAUCUCUUCUUCUCUUUGAAAAACCAAAAAUAAAUAGCGUCCACGGGGACAGGACAAAAGCAAAAUACAAGAGAAAUUUACAACACUGACCAGAGAAAUACGUGACUUCAACACUGGUAAACCGAAUAGUUCUUGCUCUUCCACAAGUAAUUCCAAGCCUUUCCCACUUUUCUUCUUGAGAUCGAUUUACAAUAUGGCUUGGAUUCCAAUGGCUUUGUUUCCAGCGCUUUUGAUUCCAAUGGCUUUGAUUCAGGACCAGGCACAGCCUCGGUACUGCUUUCAGUAUGAUGAGGACUCCCAACAGGUGAUGGGUCUCGCUGCCGCUGCUCCCGAAACAGCAUCAGAAGUUUCUGAGCCUUUUCUUUCCCUCUCACGGUCCCAUUCACUGAUAUGGAAACCAAUGCAGGUAUCACCCCUUCUUGGAGGACCAUCUGACUGCAUUUCUCACUCCCAUUACAUAAGAUCAGAAGACAGACAACAGCUUGCUCCUGCUCAAUGGCCUCACCAACAUCCAGUAUCGUUGCCAACCCACUAAUAAGGCCAGGGGCUACCAUGAUUUCAUCUUUUCCUAAUUUAUUUGAAGCCAAGUUUACAAAGACAGCCAAGGUUUUUUCUGUCCAUGUGUUGUCAGCCGGGUCUGUGAGAAGGGAAUGGAGGCCGCUGAUAAUGCCAGCUGCAAGUAGGUUGGGGAUAUUGGCAGGAUGGGUGGAGAGAUUAUAGAGGGCAUGGAGGGCAUCAAGCUUGCAUUGCGGUUCAGUUUUAGCUCCAAGCAGAUGGAUUAAAAAGGGGACAGCUUGGCUUGUGCUAAUCAUGGGCUUGGCUUCUUCAAGACAAGAAAGGUUCAGGUAGAGGGCUGUAGCUGAUCCAUGGGAGUUGGAAUUGGGGAUCAUUUCCUCAAGCAAUGGGAGUACUCCCGAUGCCAACAUCAGUUCCUUGUUUCUGAAAAGCAGAAUAUAUGAAGUUAGUAAAUUGAAAUUACAGAUACAUCCCCCUCAAUUUUAAGAAAAUAAGAUUAAAAAGAAUGAGAGCAGAAUUAGAAUUCAUUUUAAACAAGUAAUGGCAUAUUAAAACCACUGUAAGCCCUGGUAUUAUUUUCAAAAAAUUAUUGUAUCGUAAAUGACCAUUUAUGUAAAUAAACUCCCAAUUAUUUCAAGAUCUUCUUAUGGUCAAGGACCAUUUAGACCAUUUUAUGUAAAUAAACCCUUAUAACAAAAGUAAAUUCUACCAUUAUUCCGUAUAUUAUCAGAGCCAAGGGCCACAUUUUCAAUUUUGAAAUUCUUGAAAGCAUUGACCAACAUUACAAACCUGUUAUUGUUAACAGCAAGAUUGAACAGAGCCAUAGCCCCAAUUUCCUGAGCCAUUUCAUUCCUUCCUCGCACAGCCAACUCUAAAAAGCGCAUCAAUGCUUCAACAAACCCAUUAGCUCCCAUAAAAUUCCUGGCUUCCUCAUCGUCCUUUAGCAAGUGUCUGAUCUGUUCUGCCACCUUGCACUUUUUCCUCAAGUCUUCCUCUCCAUCCAAGAUAGCCAGAAAGUUCUCAUAUCUUUCAAACACGUUUUCAGACUCUUCAUCCUGUUCAUGCACAUUUUCCAUUUCAUUUCCCUCGACCUCCUCAAUUAUGCCACUCUCCUCUAAAGGAACCACCUUUACCCCCUUCAUCUUGCAGGAACCAAUGCUGUCCAUUGAUUUCGAAUUUGUUGACUCACACUCAGACAAAGCGAGCCUCCAGUAGUUGAGAUCAAGAGACUCUGGAGGGCCAUCAGGAACAGGAACUCCAUUCUGUUCACACCAGCUCGCAAUGAGACCCUUAACACAGUAAUUAGGAGUUAGACAAAGAUGAGAUAGCUGCUGUUGAGUUUUCGGGCAAGUGUUGUGCCCAUCACUGAACCAUUUCUCAAUGCAGAUUCUUUCAUACGUUUGCCCAGAAGAUAUUAUCACUGGAUCAUACAUGAGCUGCAAUGAUAUUGGACACCUCAACUCUUCUUGUGGAAGAGGCAUCUGCCCAGAUCUCCUAUUAUUUGGCUUGAAAUUGAAAGAACCAAGUUUUGAGAGCUGUCUCUCAAAGGCAUGACCAUAGACUGCAGGUCCAACACCAUCUUCAAGAGAACCCAUAACAGUCGGCGAACAAGGAGCCGAACCCUGUGAAUCAUUGUCAUCUGAUAACUCACUUCUAAAUAACUUAGAGUAUUUUCUCAUGAGAUGUAAAAGAUAAGCAACAAUUGAUUCUUUCCGCUUGUCUUCCUCAAUACGAGCUCUUUCUAUGAGCUUCUUAAGAGCUCUUCUCUCUGUAAGGGCUGCUCUUGAAGAGGUGAUACCAAGUCUAGAAGCAGCUUGGUGAAAAGACUCGAGCUCAUUAUUGUCAUUGCUGUUGUUGAAUUUUCUGCCCUGCUGGAGCAAUGCAAUUAUAUCAUCACCAACUUGCUUCUCCAAUGGAUCAAGUGCGAAUGCAGUUCCCUCAAGUUCACUUACUAUCUCAGAAAUCUGGAAUGUGAAUGGUUACAAAAGAUAUUAAGAUCGAUGCUUCAUCAAAGAGACAAAAAUAAUGGUUAUAAGAACCAUGAAAUUGCUACUACUGUUUUCUUACAGUGUAUGGAACCAUGAAUUAAUAUUAAACAAAUGAAACUACAUAUCCUAAUCAAGAGAGAGAGAGAGAGAGAGAGAGAGAAAACAAAAGUAACUUCUGUAAGUGUUACCUGGACACCAAUAGUUUGUGGAACAAUAUCUUCAACUCGCCUCAGACUAUCUGCAAGAGCACAUCGUGCCUUCUCGAAUUUUAAAGCCACUGAAUCACCAGUAAUAGCCUGCAUGAAAACAAUGAAAGUCAUAGUAAAACAUUCAUGGUUGAAAAUUUUCAUUUUUUUCAAAAAUGAAUAGAAAUUUGAAAUUAGGAGCUAAACCAUACAGCUAUUUAUCAGCUUAUCCCCUUUAAAGAUGUGGCAACCUAUAUAUAUAUAUAUAUAAUAAACCAUCAGGAGGGGGGGACUGGAUAAUUGAUCAAUAUAUUUAUUUAUUCCAUCAGCACAGACAAGCAAUAUCAUGUAUGGAUAUUCGAUUCCUUGUUUGAAAAAAAAGUAGAAAAACAGCUAAAUUCUAUAGUACAAGGAAUAAUAAUUGCAGCACAAACAUAUUCAUGCAACUGAGACAAUACUUACCAAAUAAAGUUUACUACAUUCUGAGCAAUGCUGAAGAAUAUUCUUGGCCUUCUCCAGCGCUAUGUGCAAUGAGCAUAAUGCCUGAAUACCUGAUUUGCUCCUAGGCCUUGCUGCUUCCAGAACAGGGAAAAUUUCCAGUAUUUUGCAAUAAAUCGUGGAGAGCAUCCUGCACAUCCCUCCAUGUAACUGCACAAGCAACCACAUCAGUUCAUCAGGCACCUUAGUUAACAGAACUAUAUGAUGUUCAAAGACUUGUUAGAUUUUUUUUUUAAUCCAUGUUUCAACGAAAUAUCUAAUUUUACUCCACUUCAGAAAGAGGUAGCCUUUCUGCAAAUCAACUUACUCUAAUUGGAAACUGAAAAACCAAUUACAGCAUCAAACCCAGUUUGUGUGAAAAUCCCUGUGGCCAACAGGUUAUAGUAAUUUCUAUUUCAGAGCCUGGCGGGAAAAGUUUAUUGCUAAACUGAAAUACCCAUCAUAGAUAUGUGAGGUAUAUAGAUUAGAAUAACAAAGGGGGCAAAAGAACCCCAGCACCCUGAGAUGAAUUACACAUAUCCACAUAUAACAUCAACCCAAACCCUACUGUAAAACUAAUCAACCAUCUCAAACAAUCUCAAGUAUAUGAUCCAAAACCAUUUCUAAAUCUUUAAGGAAAAGAAUUCUACAAAUAACCCAAAAUAAGCAAGUCAGAAUAAAAUUCCCAACGCUCAUUUCUUAAAACUUCAAGCAGAUAUAGCAUCCAUACCUUGGCAUCACUGACCGCGAACAAACUCUCUUCAACCUCAUGAAUAUCCAUAAUUUAUGGUAGAAAACUACUACAGAUGUUUGAAUUGUCUGAAAUGCAAAAAGAAUAAAUCAUCAAAUCAGUAUGAACUUUUAUGAAAAUUGUUAGAAAUGAAAGAAUUUCUGCAUUAACCAAAUUAGACAAGAAAAGGUAAUAAAUGUUUAAGUUCUAUUAUAUUAAUAGAAGCCAGAAAAAUUACCAUAUGUCAGGGAUGACCAAAAAACUCAAGAAACUAGAAGAAAAUAGAUUAAGGAACAAGGGAGAAAAAGAGAUAAAGGUGACACAGAAAGCUACUAUUUGAUGAAAACACCCAGUGAAACAAGAUUGAUCCCAAUACCAUUUGAUUUAGACAUUUCGUCUAACAUCUAAAAAUUGAAAUUCACGGAAACAAUUUGUAAAAUAAAAUAAAUAGAAAAAGAAAAGAAAAGAAAAACCCAACAAAAAAUUGCAUGAGAAGCAUUGGAAAAAAAAUAUAUACAAAAUUAAACUCAGACCUUUCAUCUAACACCCAGAAUUCAAAACCCAAAAGAAAAUUCCCAAAGAAAAAAUAAAUUAUCCAUAAGUUCGGUUUGGACGUUUCAUCCAGCACCAGAAAUAGAAACUUUAAAAACAAAUUCAGUUGAAAAAAUUUUAAAAUUAGAAAAAUGACCUCUCAGCUGAGAUCUCAAAUGUGAGCAAUAUCACACAAUCGAGCACCGAAUUUCCCAAGAGAGAAAAAUAAAAAACCCAUAAUUUUACAACCAAGAAAAACAAAGAAAGCAAUUCUCCAAUCAUAAAAAAACGCAAAUUACCCAAAAUGCGACUCAGACCCGAAAUGAAAACACACCCAACACGAAACCCACCAAAAAAAAAAAAUGGAAAACCACAACAAAAACACCCCAAAUUUCCAAUCCCAAAUUCUCUCAUCCAAAACCCAACUAGGAUUCAUAGCAAAAAACGUACCAAGAAAAACCGGAACAAGCUCUGGAGGCUUCAUAAAAACCCCACCUACACACAAAUUCACCGCCCUCAAAUGCAACAACGAAUUAGGGUUUCCAUCACCCAUUUCCCAUCUCAUCACUUGGCCUUAGGACUGAGAAUUUCUCGCAGUGAGUUUGAGAGGAGAGAGGCUGGGCUUUGGGGUUAUUGUAAAUGGGCAAUGGGAAGGAAUAUUAAAAUUAUUUUUUUAUUUUUGGGUUGUUUAUUUAUUUACUUAUUUAAAAAAAAAAAUAGAAUAAUCAACCGGUGUUUUGAGAGAUUUAAGUUUUUUAAAAUUUAUUAUUAUUAUAAUAAUUUUUUGUGAUUUUUUCUAAAAAAUAAUUAGAAUUUUCGCCGCUUUUGUCUCCCCGGUUCACCGGCCGACAGUUGCCGACCUCCGGGUUUGUCGGUUAGCAGAUCUGUCAAUUAAUGUUGGCUGAAAUGACGAAACUACCCAUAUUCAUUGUGAAAUUAGGGUUUUGUACGUGGUGUGUUGCUAUUUUGGCGGUUGCAUGUUUGGUUCUCGACAAAGGCCGUUGUCUAAUUUUUACAGAUGGGAAAACUGAAUUAGAAUAUUAAUUGGUCGUUAAAAUAACUGUUUUUUGAAAUUACAGUUUGUAAUAAAUAAUAAAUCUUACCAAGUGGAUACACUUCCUAUUUUUUCUUUAAAAAUUAUAUUUACCUCAAAAAUUAAUAUUUUUAAUAUCAUUUAUUUUAUAAAUCAUAUAUUAUUUUAAGAGUUUUUAUUUUAUCAAAAAGCUCAAAAAUUAUAUAUUUUUAUAUAAAAUUUGGAUAAUUUUUAGGAUACAACUUUAAUCAUCUCAUAUAUUACACUUUGCGUUCAUAUUUUAUAAAUUAUCAUUUUGGUGACUCAUCUUGAAUUUAAAAAUAACAUUGUUACAUCUCAAAAAAAAAUCAAUUAAUAAAAUACUACCAAGUGCAUAAUUUAAAUAUUAAUUUAUAUUUAUAAUAAUAAUAAUUAACUUUUUUAAUAAUUUAAUAUCUUGAAAGUUAAACAAUCCACCAUGUUAGGUAGUGAUAUAAAAAAAAUUAUUUAUUAUUUUAUCUUUACAUUUUUUAAAUUUAAAGCAAAGUGAACUAAAGCCAAAAAGCCCCUUUGCUUGUUUAAUAAAUAUUAACAAAAAUAAAUAAAUAAUUUAAAAUGGGUAAGUGGCUUGUGCAUUUUGUACCUUUAAAGAAAAAACUACAAAGAAUGGCAGCUCUUGUAAUUAUGAAGAAUAUGAGGGGUGAUUCAUUAUUAUAAAAAAUCAACUCUAUCCGUCCUUCCGCAGCUUAUGCCCCUAAGUAGGAGCCCGGAAUCUGAAAAAUAUUGACUUUUUAAGACUUGACUCAUCACUGGCCACGUGGUUUAUUUUUAACCGUCCAUUUUAACAGAAUAUCAAAUGACGUGUCCCUUUGAUCCGUGAUUUACGUAGUUCUUGGGUGAAAAUUUUGAAUUUGUGAUUCACAUUUGCGAUCAUAGAGCGUGAUGGGAAAGCUUUCUGUUAUUCUGUUUGUCACGGUUUAUAAUCGUUAUAUUGAGUUGCCGAAUACUGCUUCGUGUACAAAAAUAAUUGCUUCGUCAACGACACGCGCUUGAGAUACGCGCCGCUUAUUUUGUUGCCUAUGUUUAUUUUUUACCCUACCCAGAUAAAAGAAAUUUUACUGCGACCAUAAAAUGAUUUUUAACAGUUUUCCAGAAAAAGGUAAUAUUCUUCUACUUUUAUUUCCACUAUUAAACAUGACUUAAAUAAUUGUGGAUAAGAGAAGACGUGGAUCCUGUGAUUUAAUGCAUACGUGGGAUUUAAUAGUUAGUUUCAUUAAAAAUGUUAGUUUAAUUUAUCCAACAUUUGAUACAAAGAAUCAAUCCACAAAUAACACGUGGCACAUUAGAAUCCUAAUCUUAAACCCCGGAUAUAGCGCAAGCGUUAAAGGUAAGGUAUAAGAGUGGAUGACUUUGCACAAAAAUCUAUAACAUAAAUGUUUUGCAAAAAUAUUAUAAUACAUAUCAUUAAAGUCUGUUUGGCACUAUAAAAAAGCAUUUUUAGUCGUUCUAAUACUUAAAAGAUAAAAUGUUUCAAAUAUUAAAAAUGAUAGAAAUGUUUCAUAUAAUUACUAUCAAACACAUUCUUAAACCAAAUAAAAACAUUUUAAAGUUUUAUUUACGGUCGUAAAAACCAUAGGUUUAAAAAAAACGAUAUUUAUUUAAUAUCAAUCAAUCAUAACAUAUGACAUCAAAAUUAAUCCUUAAUCGAAAAAUAUGUAUUACAAUUCAUGAACUGAUAAGGAUAUCGAGCCCAUAUGAAAAAAAAAUAUAAAAAGAGAAUUUCCUAAGGUUCAUAAGAAGUGACACCUUUGAAGAAGGUAAAUGAGAACAUCGAUUUUGCAUGAGAGAAGAAGUACAUAUUUUAAAGUCGUGAAUAAUCAUCUCCAAAAUUAUAAAUAUAUAUAUCAUUUUUAAGAAUAACAAUGGGUUAGGUUUUUUUAAUGCACACUCCUCGUUGCUCCUAAUAGGUUGAGUCUGAAAUGAAAAUAAAUGAGUUAGGGUGGGGUUUGAUUCAAAUAUUCAUUUAUUCCACCCCUAUAAAUGAUUAAAUUUUAAAAAUAAUUUAAUUUAAGUUUUUUUUUCAUUUUCUUAUUUUUUUUAACAUGUAAAAUAAUUAAAAAAAUAUACUUCUAAAAAAUAAGUUACAAAAGUUUAUAAAACAAUUUACUUACUCAAUUUAAAAAAGAAUAAAUUAAUAUACAUACUAAAUAGGAUAGGGACAUCAUCAUAGGUUUUUAUAAACCCGACAAGAAUAGGAUGAGAGCAACUCAUCUCGAACCUUCACAAUAUCAUCCGUGAUCAUUGCAAACUCUUGGCAUCUCAUUUUCUUCUUUUAAUCUCUCCAAGUAAAAGAGGAAAGAAAAGUCCAUGACUCUAUCCCCUCUCUUCUACAAAGAGUUAACAACAACAUCAUUCUUUUACAUGGUGUGACAUGAAACAGACUUCCACACAAUAGACCACACAUUUCAACAUGGGUAAGUGCUAAAAUGCAAAAAUAGUACUUCGACAAGAACCACUAAGAAUUCUUUAGCUCCAAUACAAGAUUGCAUGUAUCAUCAUCACCUGACUCCUCUUUGGAUGUUUUCACACCUCACUUGAAUGCUAACAAAGUUUGGUAAUCCUCCAAAGCAUCAGAGUGAAAUGGGCUCAUUUGGAAGGGAGUGAGCUGUUGAACCUCAUAUCCUUUCUUUUUUUUUUGCCUUUUUGGAAGGUGAUGCUGAUUGAGCUAAUAUAUGUAUAGUACUUAACUUGUCCCUUUUCCACCCAGCAUGGAGUUAUUAUUGAGUAUCUCAUCAAAAGAAUGAUACUCAUCAUUUUGGUAUUUUAGGGUAUCUACCAAUUACAAGAUGAAAUUAUUGUUGGGAAAAUGAUUAAUAGAUUUUUUAUUUAUUAUUUGAUUCUCUAGAUGUCCCUAUGAUAGAUUCAAUGGUCGAUUGAGUCAAUACAUUAUUAGUAGACAGCUUUAGAGACAAGUAUUAGUACCAUGUGUCCCUUAACUUUUGGGUCUCUUAACUUUGUAUAGUUUAUUUGUCCGAUUGUUUAGGAAGUUGGAUGAGAGACCAUGGCAUUCAUUAAAUGUUUUCUACUUAAAUUAGAGAUUGUGGGAGGGAGAGAGAGAGAGCCCAUGUUCAUUUUGAGCCAUGGCAUUCAUUAAAUGUUAAAUUAGAGAUGGUGGGAGGGAGGGAGAGAGAGAGAGAGAGAGAGAGCCCAUGUUCAUUUUGAGCCAUGGCAUUCAUUAAAUGUUUUCUAGUUAAAUUAGAGAUGGAGAGAGAGAGAGAGAGAGAGAGAGAGAGAGAGCCCAUGUUCAUUUUGAGCCAUGGCAUUCAUUAAAUGUUUUCUAGUUAAAUUAGAGAUGGAGAGAGAGAGAGAGCCCAUGUUCAUUUUGAGCCACCUUUGAAAUGGUGGCAGUGGGAGUAGGAAAUGGGAGUUUGAAUUUUAUUUCAUUUUUCUAUCAUUAUAUUAUUUAUUAAAUAUAAAAUUAUUUUUAUGAGAAUUGAAAUUCCUCUAUAUCAAAAUUUUAAUUCCUUUUCUUUAUGGUAUGCAGUUGUUUUUGACUUAUUUCUUUGAAGGGAGAGAAGUAUCCAAAUUGGUAGGUCAUUUCAAUAACUACCUUGAUGGAGAAGUCUAUGUUUGAAUUACUUCUUUGUGGGGAAAAGUACAAGUUAAUAAUUUAAGUUCCAAAAUCUAUUUUUAGUGAAAUUCAUAAUAAGUUUAUACAUAAAUAAUGUCAAAAAAAAAAAAUCUCUCAUUCAUAAGAAAUAUCACAAUCAUUUUUCAUAUAAUGUUCUUAUUAUGUCCUAUAGGAUUGAUUAUGAAUCAAAUAAAUAAAUAUUUUUAUACGAGAUUAAAUAAACAAAAGCUCAUAUUAAAACGAGGAAUCGAAUAUGAUACCAUUUACAAUGACUCACUUCUUUUCAUAUAGAUAUUGUGUAUUUUCAAUCCAAUAAACUCUCACAACUUUAAAAUAUGUCUAUAUGAUUAAAAAAGAAAUGUAUACAUAUAUAGUAUUCGAGAUUUUUUUUUUCCCUAUUUAAUGUAAAAUACCAUACAAUAUUAAAAACAAGAGAAAACAUAUUAAAUUUUCUCUUACAAAAAAUUAAAAAUUAGCUUUAAAAUAAUGAAAAAAAAAAUCAUAAAUUUCAUUAUAAAUUAAAAUAAGAAAAAAUUUAAAUCUUCCUUUUAAGUGUCCACUACACAUUAAGUUAUUAAUUCACAUGAAAAAUUAACUAUUAAAUAAUAAAAUAAUGAUGCAUGUUUUGAUUAUCCUAUGUUACAUGGGACUAUGAUUCACCCUAUCCUAAUCAUAUUUUCAUUCAUUUUCUCUUGCACCAACCGCAUCCUAAAAAUAGAAGAUUUUGAAUAAUCUACUAUUAAUGUAAUCAAACUUAUUUAGGCUUUAACCUUCACAAAAUUGAACCAAAACACAAUACGAAAUACUAUGACAUUGUGUACAUGAUGCACCACCCUAUUUUGCCCCUAGUGUAAUUUUUUCAAGCAAUUCAAAUUUGGGUCCACAGUGCCACACUUAUUCAACAAAUAUUAAGAAGGGCAUGGGAUGGACAAAUGAGUAACUUCAAAACCCACAAAAAUUGGUUGAAAACAUAGUGAAAAAAAUAUUAAAUGAAGAGGGAUGAGCCCACAAGGAGACAGCUAAGACAAUGGAAGCAGAAGAAACAAAGGGUCACAUCUUGGAGUCAAAAUCAGAUUCUAGUCCUUUUGCAUGUAAAGUUGAGUCUUGAGACCCCCUUGAGACGCCUUGAGACCCCAUUGGGCAUGGGCAAGCCACUCUUACCAAUUAUUCAGCCUCAUGCUCUGACCAAAAUUAUAUCUCAAUUUUCUUUUUGAAAUUUUUAUAUAUUUUUUAUAUGCUUUUAUAGACUUCUUGGAAGUGGACAAUUGCCUCAAAAAUCUCCUUUUUAACAACCCAAUUUGCUUGGUGUAUCUUUGGAGAUAUCUCCUUUGUUGUUUUAUGUUUGGUUGUUUGGUUGUUAGUUUUUCACAAUUUUUUUUUCCAUGGAAUAACUAACAAUUUGUAAACAGUUAUGUCAUAUAUUUCCGGUUAAGACAAACACACCACUAUUUUGGAUGGAACAUGUUACAUGUAUCAAGGCAAAAAUUUUAUUUAUUUGCACCCUCAUGUCAUAGGAGACUAUAAAAUAUUAGUACAAUUUAAAAUUAUGAAUCCUUAGAUAAAUCAAUAUUUAAAUAAUUUUUUUAAUUAUCCCUUGUUAAGAGAUAUAUUAAUUAGAUUUACAUUGUUGAUUUACUAAUUAACAACAAUAGAAGAGAAAAAGUAAAAUAGUUAUUUCAUAUUUAAGUUUUGUAUUUUAAAAUAUUUUUAUUAAAAUCAAAGAUAAUUUAAGGUUUUUUUAAAAAACUAAAUAAAUAGAAGUUGCUUUUUGGGUCAUAUUUGAGUAAAAAUAUGGUUUUCUUUCCAAUAUAUUUAGUAAUAGGAAAAUAUUUAUAAUAAAAAAAAAAAAGGCCUAUGUUUGGUUUUAUUUUACACCCGAAAUACCAAAAAAAAAUUAUAAUCAAAAGUAAUUAAAAUAGUAUGUAUUUUAAAUUAUUUAAUUUUUAUAUAUGAUAUUUAAAAUAAGUAAAAUGAAUUCGAACCAAUAUAUGUAAAUAAUUUAUUAAUUUUAAUUUUUUUUUUCAUUUUUUCUUUGGUAUUUUCUCUCAUAUUUCUUGGAAACUAAAUAUAAUUUUUAUUUUUUCAUAUAUAAAUAAAUCAUGUUAAAAAGUGUGUGAGUUAUGGUUAAAAGUUAUUCCUAAACACUCUUAAAAGUCAUAUUUAUCCAUCAAUUUUUUUUAAUAUAUAUAUAUAUAUAUAUAUGUAUGUAUGUAUAAAAGAAACUAUCUAAAUAUUUGACAAUUGUUUUCAAUAAUAAUUUUCUAUUCCCUAAAAUGAAAAACCAAAAAUACACAAUAACUAAAAAUUAAUUUCUAUUUUUUGUUUUUAAAAACAAAAAAUAUGAUGUUUUUAGAAAAUAUAUUUCAGUUAUUUUUUAUUAUUUUCACUUGUUUUUAAAGAGUUAUUCAAAAAAUAAUUAUACAAAUACAUAGAAUGACUAAAAAUAAAAUAUUAUAUAUAAAAAUUAUUUUUAAGACAUAUUUAAAAAUAUUAAAAACAAGUUAAAAAUAUCUUAGUUUUCAAAUAAACUUUUAUUCUAAAAAACAUUAUAAAAUUAUUCUUAAAAACUAUUUUUUGAAAUUGUUUCUGAAAAUAAUUACUAAAAAAAACCUAAAUCAUUAUAUUUCUUCUCUAAUAUCAUAAAUUGGAUUCUAACUUUAUUUUUUUUAUUUAUUAUUAUUUGCUUUUGGGGUGGUUGGGACAUAUUCUUUCCCUUCCUUUUAUUUGUCAACUUGGCUUGCUCUGAUUGUGAGAGAUGGUGAGAUGGAUUUGUAGCCACAUCUUCACCAUCAUUACAACUUUAAUAACUAUUUUGACUUUAAUAAUCCCUUAAGCUUUUCAUAAAUUGUAGGUUAAUACCCCAUGGCCCACUUUUAUUGUCUCUUAACUUUUUCAUUAGUUUUUGUUUAAAAUCCCUUUUGUUUUGAACCCACAAAUGGUUUAAACUUUCAAAAUUAAUACAAAAGACAAAACCCCAUUCUCCACUAAAUUUCCUCUUAAAGUAUGGAUUGAUUGAUUUGGGGUUCAUUUGAAAUGCCACUAUUUAAGAGCAAAAUUUAAUGUUCAACUUUUUAUUUUUAAAUUGGAGUUGUUAGGAUUGGAUGCACUUUUUAUAUUCAUUUUCAAGUAUUAAUUUAAACUUUUAAAUUUAUUUUUUGGUUUGUUAGGUAAUUAGCUAAAUAUUUAUUGUGUUACCAAUUUGAAGGUUUUAUUACUACAAAUUUAGCAUUAAAAUUUCUUAAUAAGAAGUUUUUAAGUUUAGCAAAUAUGAAAUUAUCAAGUUAAUAAUAGAAAAUUUCUAAAUGAAAUUUAUUUUGAAGCAGGGGAGAAAAUUAAAGAAAAAUCUAUAUGCUAGAUUGCGAAGUUUGAAUCAGUAUUGUUGGACUUCGCUCAAGAUGUCGAGAGUCGAGUUGUUUGGUCAAUUACAACUGCAAUUAAGAGGUUUUUUCUUUUUUUAUUUAGAGUUUAAUCAUUGUAACUUUUUUCAUUCGUUUUUUUAUUAAUGGAUUGUUAAGCGUUGAUAUACUCUAUAAACUAUUUCCGACAUAAAUAUCAUUAAUAAAAGCACUAAAAACUAAAAAUAUUUUUACAAAAAUCACUGAAAAAAUAUGUAAUUAGUGAAAUUAAUUUAUUGGUAAUACGUCAUUGAAUAAAGCUUGACAGUGAAUAAAAUGAGUGUGGGGGCCAAACACAUCCAAUCCCAUACACCCUAGCAACAGGCAACAAUACAUGAAUUGUCUAUUGCAGGUGGAUCCUUAUGGGAUCUGGUCUAUCUGGAUAAAUCCCAUGAAAGAUGGGAAAGUUAGAAAGAAGAGAAAAAAGGGGCAGUGGGAUCAUGUGAAGGCUACAUUUAUUACCAUCAUAUUGUCUUAUGAUAGUAACAACUACAAAGUAAAAAAAGAAAGGGAAGAAGAUGAUCAGAGACAGGCUAGCUAUCAUCACUCACACACACAGCUCAUGCAUUUGUGGUCGAGCAUCAUUUGGUAGCUACCACUGUCCCUACAUGUUCUCUUCCUCCUUAAAUUGACCACCUUUCUCUCUUGCCUUCUUCUUCCUUCCCAACCUUUUUUUUUUUUUUUUUUUUUGGGUCCUAUGUGAUUAUGAUGGUGUGUACAUGUUUGUGAAGGCCCAUUCAUGCUUGAGGUGGGUGUCCUUGGUUUUCUUGAAAUGGGAAAAAAUUUGAGGAAAACUUGAGGGAAAGAAAAUAAAUAGGAAAAGGUAAAAUAAUAAUAAUAAUAAUUAAAAAUAAAUUUAAAUUUAAUUAUUUUAACUUUUUUAUAAAAAAAAAUCUGAAAAUAUGUAAGAUUUAGGGAAAAGUGUAUUUUUAUUUACUUAUAUAAAAAAAAUCAUAAAAUAAGAGCUCCAAUUUAUAAAAUAUAGAUUUUAAAUUGUUAAAUAAAAAUAAUUAAUAUUUCAUAUAUUUCUUUUUAACCAAAAGUACUAUAUGUGUUAUCUGACCAUUCUAAGUAUUACCUUUUAUGUAUGAAAUUUGAAUUAUUUUUAAAAUUAUUUUUAUUUUAUGAUUAUUUUUAUAUAAAUGAAAAUUCAAUUUUUCUUAAGAUUUUAAAUAGUUUUAAUUAUAUUUGAUUUUUAUUUAUGCAUUUUUCAUAAUAAAAUUAAAUAUAACUUUUUUUUUAAUAUUUUUUCAUUCCUUAUACUUUCCUUAAGCCAAACAUAAAAAGGGUUGAACUUUCUUUAUAAGAAAUUGAUGACCCAUCAAAAACAUAUUUGGAUUUUGGCACUAGUUUCAUCUAUUCGUAUUAAGGUUCAAUUUGUUUGAUAUUAAGCUUUAUUUUUUUAUACCUUUGUUUGAUAAUUUGAAUUUUACUUGACGGUUCAUAUCAACGAUGGUUCAUAUCAAAAGUUAUAUAUAUAUUAUGAAAAAAGAUUCAUUGUAUUUAAAAAAAUGUUUGAACUCUUCGUGAUAUUUGUGUGAUUAUACCUUGUUUGAAAUUAUAUUUUAAAUUCCAUCCAUCAUAUUUAAGUGAUGAAGAACAAAAUUCAUUUUGUAUUAUGUUAAACUAUUAAUUUCAUCCUAAAAAAUUAUUAUGUUAGAUGUGGAUAAUAGAAGAUAGAGGAAAAGAAAAUACAAUAAGAAUGGCUUUAAGAGUCUCUUGGUGGGAGAUUUUAAAAAGUGUUUUUUUAAAUAUAUAUACAUAUAUAUUUGAUAAAAUUUAGAAAACAUUUUUAAAAUUUUGAAAAAUUAUUUAGAAUGUGUUUGGUAUUAAUUUUAGAAAAUAUUUAUAGUAUUUUUAAUAUUUGAGUGAUAAAAAAUUUUAAAUGUUAAAAAUAUUAAAAGCUUUUUUUAGAAUUACAGCAAAACGGGUUCUUAUAGUGUUGAAAAUUACUUGUAAUUUUUUGGAAAAACACUUAUAGGUGAUUCUCCUAAAAAUACUUUCAUAAAAAAUACUUCAAGUAAAAACAUUUUCUUCAAAUGUGCUCUAAAAGCUUAUUUGAUAGUAAUUAUAAGAAGUGUAUUUUUAAAAAAAAUUAAGGGAUUGAAAAAAUUUAUAAAACACUAUGAAAAAUCAUUUAUAGUAUUUAAAACUUGUAAUGUUUUAUAAAGAAAUACUCGAUAAGUGAUCAUUCUAAAAAUAUUAACAAAAAAAAACACUUUAAAUAUAAAUAUUAUCGAAAAUACUCUAAAAGAAGUUUCUUCCCUUGAUUUACUUUGAAAAAUACAAAUAAAAAUUGAAUAUAAUAAAAUUAUUUAAAAACGUAUAUAAUUUUAAAAAAGAGAUGAGAAAUAACUUUUUUUUUAAAUUUUAUUUUUAGAAUUAUAUGAUAAAAAUUCAUUAAAAAAAUUUCCCCAUUUUUUCUUUUCUUAUGUUAGUGAUCAGGAGUAAUUCUAUCUAAAAAGGGUUGGAAAUUUUUUCUAAUAAAUUCUUUAAAAAAACAAAUAAAAAAUUAAAAAUUAAAAAUUUUAAAAAGGAGAAAAAAAAAAAGAAAGAAGAAGAAGCUGCUGUGACUGUCUUAUUUACAUAAAGAAACUAAAUCCAUCCUUUUUAUGAAAUUAUUUCAAAACAACCAUCUUCAACAAAUUUGCUAUUAGGACACUUCUACCCCCACCAAAAAAAAAGUACCAAGAAAAAGUAUUGAAAUAUAAAUUUUAAUCACAUCAAAUAACUUAAAACAGUAGAAAUUAAUGAUGGUGUAAGACAUGUAAUGAUGGUUAAAAUUUUGAAAAUGUGGUGUAAAAGGUCGAUGUGGGUUUGGAAUGUACAAUAUUUAACGUGUGGAUCUUAUAAAAUUGAUUUACACAUAUGAAUCAUGAUGGUGGGUCCAAAUUCCAAACUAACAUAUAUAAAGACGAAAAUUAGGGUUUAAUGUGUCGUCUUUAUUUACCGCCUAAUAAUGUGGACUCACCCAAUGCAUGUGAUGUUAUAGAAGGUUGAACCUUGGAGUUGGAGGUUGGUAGUGUCCACGUUCUCUGCAUGAAAACUACUUGUUCAACUCUGAUGACUCCCUUCUCCAAUCAUCGACUUCCAAGUGCCUUCCACAUUUAAGUUUUGCUUCCCCACAGCAUUUUGCCUUUUUGCUUUUGUUUGGAGGUAGGAGCCCACUUCACUUGGUAUCAAAUUGAAAAUUUAUGGCGUAUGAAAUUCUAGUCAUGGAUAUAUAUAUAUAUGAGACCGAGAUACAAAGUAAUGAAAUCAAACUUGGAUAUAUAUAUAUAUAUAUAUAUAUAUAAAAUAUGAUCUGAUAACGUAAUUUUAAUUAUUAAAAAUACAUAAUGAAAUUUAAGUCUUGAAUAAGAAUACAAGGAUACGAAAUCUAAAUACAAAGUAAUGAAAUCGUAUCUGAGAGUAAUAAGAUUUAAAAUGUAUAUAUGUUAUAGUUUGAUUAUUAUGUCAAAGAAAUUAAGAAAGAGACAAAAUUUACGAUGACUAAGGGCCCUUAAUUUCUUUUUUUAAAUGUUUGACUCUUUUUUUCUUCGUCAAAGGUAAGUUCGUUUAAUUGAAUGGUCGUAUCACAUGAGCUUAAUGAUAUGGUACAAGGGAUGUUGAAAGGUUGCAUCACCUUUUCUAAUGUUUUUCUUUAAUUAUUUUUCUCUUUCUAUUUUUUUUAAUAAUAAAAAAAUUAUUUUUAUAUAUUAUUUUAAACUCAUUUCAAUUAUUUUAUCUUUUUUUAUGUAAAAAUUAAAUAAUUUAAAAUAUAUGUAAAUUUUUUUAUCAAUUUUAAUCAUAUUUUAUUUUCUUUUAUAUUUUCAUAAUAAAAUCAAAUAUAAGAAAAUUAUUUUUUUAACAUUUUUUUAAUGCUAUCCUAAACCAAAUAUUGCACAAGGGUUUUCCUCAAAUUUUAGUCCCAAAAUUAAAAAAUAAAUGUUGCCCAAAUAGCCAAUUUGGUUUGGGCCAAGAUUGUUGCUUAAAUGGAGCCCAGACUGCUCUUCAAGUGGGAGCCCACGCCCCUUUCACGUAUAGUUUGCCUUGCCCGUUGGAAAUUACUAAUUAGUAUCCAAUGAUUAUGAUGAUGGUCUUUCCACCUCUCCAUUUCCUUCUAAUUCUCACCUCCUUAUUUUCUCUCUCCUCCUUAUUUUUAAUAAUUUUAUAAAUUUAUAUACCAAAAUGUAACCCAAAAAUUUAAAUACAAAUUAAUAAUAGAAUCAAUUAAGAAAAACCAUUAUUUAAAAAAAUUAAUAUAUACAUUAUUUGUGUCUCCAUUUUUAUUACCCGAAAAAUUAUGUAUAAGACGCAUAUGAGAUAAAAAAAGAAUUUAACAAAACCGCAUUGAAAGAAGCAUUUUUUAUUGAGUAUAAAAUAAUUCUUUUACCCUCACUAUUAAGAGCUCAUUUAACAGUAAUUAUAGAAGACGCUUUUGAUUUUUUUUAAUACUUAAUUUUUUUUUUAUCACGGUCAAAAAUGUUAAAUUUAUAUUUUGAUAUUUCUCAUUCGUAUUUUAUCCUUAUUUUUAGGCUAUUUUAUAAAUUAAUUUGUAUAUUCUCAUAGAUACAUUAUGUUCUAGAAUUUAUAUAAAUUUGAAAAAAAAUUAAUUAUUUAUAUAACCUGAUUGAGUUGAGCUUAUAGUUGCCUAGGCAUUUUUAUCCAGAGGCUUUUAGGAUCAGAAAUCAGCCCACUUACGGUCCAAUCGAAGCAAAAUUUGGGCCAGACCAGGCCCAGGCCAGUAAUGCUAAAGUCACGGGAUUGUCACAGUAUAGCAUUAUGCAUCGCCUUUAAGGUUUGCUUGCAGCACAAGAAGACCCGAUCUUUAUUUACUCAGAAAGUAUUCAAUCAGUUCUUCUCCAAACGCUGCGUUUCGAUCGAUCUGUGAGUUCUAGGUACUCCUCUAAUCUCUAUUCUCAAUUCAUUCGAUCGACUUCUAGUUUAUACAAUCGUUUGGAUGCUUAGAAACUAUGAGAAAACCAAAGAAAAAUUUGAAUCGUAAUUUUUUUUUUUCACCAGUUAGGGUUCGAGAAUACAAAAAAUGACACUCACCUAAAUUUAUACGAAACUUUGGAUUUUUUGAUCGGAGCUUUUGGUUUUUGUUUUUUUGUUUUUCGUUUUUGGCAGCAAAGAAAGUGAGAGAGAUAAUAGCAUAGGAAUCAAAAUGUUGCUUUUGUUUUUCAUCAUUUUCUUGGUAACCAAGCAGAGGGCUUGGAUAUCAUUCUGAGUGCUUUAUUAAUUGGGAAUGCUAUUGCUGGAAGCUUUGAAUUCUAGGGUUUUCUCUUGGAAUGGCCGUAUAACUAUUGCAAGUUUGGAUAAAUUUUUGUUAGAUUCACGGUCUUUUUCUAUCUGGAAAUCUUUUCUCGUGUAAAAAGCGAUCUAGUUUUGACGCUGAGGAGAAAUGAGACAAUGAAUUCAAAUUUUGAAUUCAGAAAUUUUCACCACAGUCGAAUACAGAAAAUUGCCACUUUUGUGUGAGAGUGGUGGGUGGGGUGGCGGGUUUUGGGGCGUGCGGGGAAGCAGAAUAUGAGAGAUAACUUACGAAUGAAAAUCUUUUCUUUUAUUGUUCUCUAUUUUCCUGGUAACCAAACAGUUUUCUUUUUGAAUGACUUCUAACUUGUCAAUGCUAUGGCUGAAAACUUUUGAAUUCGAAGAUUUCUUUCUGGACUACAGCUAAAGUUGGAAUUUUUAUAAAUUUAACUAUAUGGGAACACAAUCUUGCACAAUUGUAGCAUGAAAAAUUAUUUGGAUUGAAUUAAUAUUCACUAAUUUUUUAGGGGUUUCUUCUCUUUGUCUAGGCUAUAAGCAUGAAGCUUGACACUAGUGGUCUUGAGUCAACUGUACCGCUCUUCGGGGCUAAUAGCGAGCUUCUUGGUGGGUUUUCAGCUGCUCCUUCAUUUGAGCUUCCAAACACUACUGAUGUGAGUUCUGAUACAUUUGAUUUAGAAUCUUCCUAUCAAUGAAAAAAAGGCUCAAUUUGGAAUGUGAUGUCACACUUUCCUUUAGUAGAAAUUAGAAUCAGUAGGGACUGAAAAUGUUUUCCCUUUUUCAGUUUGAUGGGUUUCAGAAAGAUGCUAUUCAAAUGGUGAAGCCAGCAAAGGGAACAACAACUCUUGCCUUCAUUUUUAAGGAGGGUGUAAUGGUUGCUGCUGAUUCUCGUGCUAGCAUGGGAGGAUAUAUCUGUAAGUUUUUUUUUGUUCUUACUUGGUUCAUUUUGAGGAAGAUAUAUUUAUACUGUUUAGAUUAGUUAGGAUUAGUGGACCAUAUAAACCUGUUCAUGAACAAGUUCAAUUCAGGAAGAAAAAUGGGUGACUUAAAACACUAGUGAUUCUGCAAUAGUUGCUUCAAUAUUAAUAUACAGUGAAAUACAAGCAUAUUGAAUUUAAAUAAAAUGUGGCAACUUAUAUCUGAUAUCAUGUUUUAGGGGGUUCUGUAGAUCUGCAUUCAUCAAGAUAAUAUGAUUUUAAACACCCCUACAAAAAAGCAGUAUAGGUUAUGCUUGAGAAGUUUUUUUCGUCCUUUAGCAUCUAUAUGUCAUGAGUAUGGUCCAUAUGGAUGCAAUUUCUCAUCUAUUUUUCCUUGAUAUAUGUAUGUUUGUGUAUUAUAUGGUUAGUUGGAACCACACAUACCUACACACAGAACUUCCAGUAACCUCUUGCAUGUACGAAAUAAAACUUUGUAGCUGAGCAUACACUAUCUCUCUCUCUCUCUCCCCCUAAAGGACCUGAGGAUAAUAUGAUUCUGUGCGACCACUGGAACCUUUAGCAUCUAUAUGUCGUGAGUAUGGUCCAUAUGGAUGCAAUUUCUCAUCUAUUUUCCUUGAUAUAUGUGUGUGUGUUAUAUGGUUAGUUGGAACUAUAUAAACCUAUACACAGAACUUCCGGUAAGGGAAAAAAUGGAACCUCUUGCAGUGUAUGAAAUAAAACUUUGUAGCUGAGCAUACAACAUUUCUCUCCCCCCCACAUGAUGAAAAAAAAAAAAUUGUAUAAGGACCUGAGGAUAAGAUGAUCCUAUUUGACCACUGUACAUUGGUAGAAGCAUCAUGAAUUGGAAUAAUUGGGAAUCUUGAGUAACUAGCCAAGCCACUAAAGCAGCCAAAGUGGUGAUAGAUCCCAUUAGUUAAAUGAGUCUUAUAGAAAGUGCAUCUAUUUUUAAUCUCUUCUUAAAAUAAAAGGAAAAGGAAAUUGUCCAUUUAUAAUCCUUCACCAAUUGGAUUAAAGGAUCAUCUAAUUGGAAAUUAUAACAGAAUUUGUAGGUUGUUAAGUAGUUAUAAGAUAUAUACUUAUACCUCUAAUUAUCUCAUUUCCUCUAUGAGGGAAAGAGAAAAUUGAGGUUCUUCCUUAUAUAGGCAAAACUAAUAUACACCAAGGAAAAUAUUUUCUAAUAGGGUGUUUUCAGUGCCUUGAGAUUUGAGGCCUUGUUUGGCAUGACCUUUCAGCAAUCUAAAAGCUUUUAAUAUUUGUCGGAGAGCUUAAAAUGUGUUUGAUAACACACUAACAUUUUAUAGGAGAUGUUUAAGGCUAGAAGCUCUUUCACUGAAGUUAAGGGUGAGACGCUUUUGUAGAAAAACUUACAAGGGAGGGAAAAAUUGUUACAAAAUAAAAAAGAGAUUAAUGGCUUGUUUGACAAUGUUUUUAAAAAUAGUUUUUGAAAAUAGUUUUUGAAAAUAGUUCUUAAAAACAGUUCUUAAUUGUUUUCAAUAACAAAAUUUUGUUUAGGAACUCAAGUAUAAAAAACAAUUUUCUUGCCUUAUUCUCCAUGAAAGUACUGUGUACUUACAUAUAAUUCAAAUGUUCUUAAAGUAUUCUCCAUAUUUUCAAUUAUUGUUCAGGAAUAUACUAUGAAAAAACAACUAAAACCACCUCAAAUUUGUUCUAAAAAAUAACCUGUUUUUAGAAAAAAAAUUCUAAAAAGAACUAUUUUAUCUCAAAGUCUACUAAACUUGUUUUCUAAGUUAGAAAACUAUUGUAUGUUGUAAAGAAUAGAAAAUUGUUUUUUUUUUAGAACAUAAAACUGUUUUUUUGUUUCCUUUUGUCAAAUGUGUGUGUUUUUUUCUUUUUUCUUUUUUUCUUUUUUUCUUUUUUUCUUUUAUAUAUAUAUAUAUGUAUAUAUGUAUAUAUUCUAGUGAACAGAAAAUUAUUUUCAAAAAUAGUUACCAUACAGGGCCUAAGCUUCUAAAAUGAACAAAUGGAAGUCCUUUAGCUUUUGUUGACAAGGCAACUAAUUUACACCUUAAUCACUCCUUAGUAAGAAGUACCCUUUUGAGUUGGCAUGGGUCCUUUGUUUGGAAGGAGAGGAAGAAAGCUUGGAGAGCGGCUUUUUAGCAUUUAUUUUGGAUCAUUUGGAAGGUGAAAAAUAGGAGAGUAUUUGAAAAUACUGAAAAUGUGGAUCAAACAAUCAAAUAAUGCUCUAUGUAUAAUUUUUUGGAGUGGGUUAGAGUGUACAAGGAUAUUCCUCAAUGUCCAUGGUGAACUACAUUAUUUGACUUAGCUCUAAGUAGGGAGAGGGAGUUGGUUUUUGUAUCUUGCUCCACUUUAUCUAGCCUUUUGACUCCUUUGUGUACACCAUGUAUGUCUUUUGCAUGCCCUUUUAUUAGACACUUUUAAUAUAUUUGAUCUUUUCCUAUCAAAAAAGAAAAGAAAAAUCGUACGAUAAAUUGAAUAUGUUGUAUUUUCAUCUUAUUUUCUCAGUUGAAUAAAUUCUAUUAUUCAAUUUCAAGCAACUUUAAAUGUUUCAGGACUUAUUUUAAAAUUUUGCCUCCCUCUUAUUGCGUUUUCACAACAUUUCCCAUUUUUUAUUAAACUAAACUCAUCUGAUCAAAACUUUGAACCAUGAAAUAGGGAGAUCUUUUGGACUUUGGAUGCAUUGCCUAUUUGUUUUCAUUGUCUUCCUUCCUUAUUUUUGCAGCAUCACAAUCUGUGAAGAAAAUUAUUGAAAUUAAUCCCUACAUGCUUGGCACAAUGGCUGGAGGAGCUGCUGAUUGCCAGUUUUGGCACAGAAAUUUGGGCAUUAAGGUAAUGUAUUUUUGUUGUUUUCUCUAAUUUGCACUCUUUUUCAGGCCUGUGAUCUACAAUAAUUAUGGAAUGAUUUGAUAGUACUGGUUCUGCUACUGUAAACAAGUAUCUUUAGCACUCUGGAUUGUUUUAUUCUUUGUGCACUCAGCUGGUAAAUGUAGACAAUUUAUUACUGAUUGUGUUCAAGGGCUUCUUCCUUAAGCAACGUCUUAAUUUUGUAGUCCACCUAUGCCGUUGGUAAAAGAAUGGAGUCAUGUCUUCGUUCUCCUUGCUGACUGCUGAGAGACCACAGCUGUGAUAGUCAGCUUUUCUUGCUAAAUCCAAAUAUGGAGUUCCUGUAUUCUUUUGAUGAAUCUUCGUGCUUCCCCUAUUAUAUACUGAAAACUUGAUUAAGAAAGACCCUAAUGAUUAUUUGUUUUGAUAUCAAGAUUCUGUCCAUCAUAUAAAUUUGAACCUUCUCCUGAAUUGCACUUGUAAUUUGUGAACAUGCUCUUGCCUUGGCUCUUCCGCAAUCACUAUAACAUGCCUUAUUUCUUUUUAUUUGUUGUUCUGUUAUUAAUCCAUAAAAUUCUAAUUAUACAUACAUGAGAUUUAAGCUUUAUUUAACAAAAACACUGAAUUAGCCCUUGAGGCAUGGGUUGGGUGAAGGCAUAUAUUCUUUCUAUUUGUAGCCAUUAUUCAUAUAUAAAGUCUAAUUACACAUACAUAAACUUUAAGCUUUAUUUAACACAAACAUUGAACUGGCCCUUGAGGCUUAGCUGGGGUGAGAGAGAUCAUCAAUACUUAUUUUUCCCUAAUCUUACAUAAAUUAAAUUAAUAAGCAUAUAUCGUGUAAAGUCUUUAUCUUAGACACUUGGUAGACUGGAUAACUGUUUCUCAUGAAAUGAGCUUAGGCAUGUAUGGAAUACUUAUGAGUUGACCCAAUGGCCUUGCUCUUAGGUUGACCCAAUUACCCACAGAUAUGAACUGAUGUAUAUUUGCUUGCAAUAUUCCAGUGCCGACUGCAUGAACUUGCAAACAAGCGAAGGAUUUCAGUUACAGGGGCUUCAAAACUGCUGGCAAACAUUCUAUAUUCUUACCGUGGAAUGGGUCUAUCUGUUGGGACCAUGAUUGCUGGGUGGGAUGAAACGGUAAUGAGAUUUGAAUAUUAUGAAAUGAUCUUUUGCCUAUCUUAAUUUCAUGAUCUUAAUCUGUCUACUUUGUGGGGUAUGUAGGGUCCUGGACUGUAUUAUGUGGACAGUGAAGGGGGCAGGCUGAAAGGAACACGAUUCUCUGUUGGAUCUGGUUCGCCUUAUGCUUAUGGUGUACUGGAUAAUGGGUAUGUGCUUUUUUUGCCCCUUUAUUCCUGUUAUCUGUUGCUCUUUGCAUGUUUGAGCUAUAUCAGUGGAUAUUUCAUUUCCAAAUAUCUAAUGGAAAUUCCUUGGAAAAUUAGAGAAAUAUUGCACUAAACCAUAAACUGGGAUAAAAGCAGGUGGUACACAUGUUUUAUAAAACAUCUUCUGGAUCUAGCUAUUUUGCCAUUGUUGGAUCUUGUUGAUAGUAUGGGGAUUGAUUAACUAGUUAGUGUUCUUGUUGUAUUUAUAUUUUCUUUUUUGGUUUGUGUACUGUUUGUAUACUUCGUCUGUACAUGGGUUGCACCUCUUUUUUUCCUUCACACGAUCAUGAAUAUAUUUAUCCUAUUUUGCAUAUCCCUCAAAAAGGGGAAGAACAAAGAGCUCUUAGACGAUGCCACAAAACAUUUUGAGAUGCCUUAAAUUUGUUGAAAACUUGGCAUUCUCAUGCUUCCUCACCAGUUCCUUUCCAUGUGAUGCCAACUGCCUCACCCCAUGAAAGUUCCAUUGAUGUUAGGGAAAGCUAGAUCCUGGAAAUGGUAGGGUCAUGGACUUGAGGAUGGAACGCUAUUUUGUUGCUAAGUCUGUGGAAUGAUGGGAAGUGUGCUUCAUUGUUGAUAUGCCACUUUCUAGAGAAUUAGGGGUUAUAUUAGACUUGUAUUACAUCAUAAUGUUAUUCUGUCCCUUCAAAGAGUAUGCUUCUAAAUUUCUUGCUUCAUUCAAACAAAGAUCUUUUGAAAAUUCAGUUGACAUUCCUUUCGGUGUUUUUGCAUGGUCAGAUCUCAUGUAUUCUGAGUGUUCUGUUCUUUAAAUCAUAUUAUUCUUAUAUGUUAUUUUUCUUGUUGUUGUCACUCAUGGCAGAUACCGUUAUGAUAUGUCUGUUGAGGAAGCUGCUGAAUUGGCUAGACGAUCUAUUUAUCAUGCGACAUUCCGUGAUGGAGCUAGUGGUGGAGUUGCAAGCGGUACUUACUCUCUCUCUCUCUCUCUCUCUCUCUCUCUCCCAUGUGGAUACAUACAAAUGUAUGUAGUUGUGUUUACGGUUUAAACAUGUAUUUUUUGUUAGUUUAUUAUGUGGGGCCAAAUGGGUGGAAGAAGCUGUCUGGUGAUGAUGUCGGAGAACUCCACUACAAAUACUACCCGGUUAUGCCAAGCACAGUGGAACAGGAAAUGGUUGAAGUAGCAGGAGCUUGAGAGAAAGAUGCCUUGGAACAACUUAGACCAGGUUUGAGAUGUUCUCGUUCUUAAUACAUGACAUGAAGGGAUGGAUUCGCCUAUGUUCUGAUGAACCCAAAAAUCCUUGAAUACAUGUACUUUGGUUUGAUCCCAAACAACUCAUUAACAGACCCGGGUUUCAGUUAUUGUCAUAAGAACCUUUACUAUUAUGAUCCUUUUGUCCUGGCAAUUUAGUUUUAUUCUCAGUUCUUUGCUGCAUGUGUCAUGAACUUUAAUUUCAAUCUCUUUGCAGUAUCCUGAUGUGCCACUGAAAAAUUCAAUGCCUCUAACAGGACCUUAUCCACCAACAAUCACUCCAUUUUUGUGAAAGAACCAAUGGACAAUGAAUAUAUCUAAUCUGCAAUCUGAGAUCCUCCAAUUAUUACAUUUGGGCACCUCUCAGAAGCACAAUCAAUUUAAAGGACCAAGCCUCGUAAUUGGAUUGGUCCCAUUAAGAAAGUAGCAUUAGAAAGAAUCAAAUUGAUUAAAUGAUGUCACCCAUUUAUUUUGUUCAGUUUCUAUGAACUGUAGACACUUUUGUUUAAAGAAUUAUUUUAGAAUGGUUACUGGGAUGAAAUGAUUGAAUUCAUGAAUCAUUUUGAUUGCUCUGCAAAGCAAUGCAGUCUGUCAAAUGAUCAGGUCCUGGCACUUACUGGUAGUUGGUUUAACGUGCAAAUUCGGAUGAAACCCAAGGGAGCAGCUUGAAUUAUUGGCUUGCAGGCAUGGUCUGGAUUGUGUUAAUGACAGGAGCAUCUGUACAUUUUUUGUGUAUGAAGAAAACUGAUGAGCUAUCCAUUGUCCUUUUUUGACUGAAUGAAUUGAUAGUGUCUUCUUGUGUAGGUUGUGACUUUGUGAGUUGGGUUCUGCUUGUUCUUUUCUUUUCCUCCCCUUUUUACCAACCUUAUGCUGGUCUUUCAAACACUGAAAUAAUUAGGAGAAUGUUGUUUAAGGUCUUUCACCCUAUCUAUCAUACCCUCGUGAGUGUGAUAUCUAAGCAAGAUAGAAUGAACAGAAGAGGGGUUCGGAUUUUAAACCAAAUUCUCUCGUGGUAAGUCAAAAUGGGACACAUGCUGUCAUGUCAUGAGGAUGAGAAUAACCCAUGUUUGAUUGGCUUGGUACGAAGUCAUGUCCCAUCCCUUGAGUACAAAGCAAUGCAAUUUUUUUUAUAAUCCUUCUAGUUCUUUCCAUUUGUCAUGAGAAUAUGACUUCUCAUGAACGAGCCUCUUUUCACCUGCCUUUUGUUAGAAAAAGACAAAGUGAUCGUUACAUGCUAUGAAUUUAGAAUUGAGAAAAGAGAAGAUGAAGUGGGAGUCAAGAAUUAGAAAUAGAAGUUUUUGAUCCCCUUUGGAGGAUCAUGCAUUUUGUUUUUUUCCCCUUUUUUUCCCCUUUUCUGACAAGAAUGAGAAAAUGCAAAUUUCUAUUUACCCCAUUUUUUCUUCCCAAUUCUGACAAUGAUAAAAGGAGUAGGUUUGUGUGUUUGUUUUAACAGUUUGUUGAAUUGUCUUUUUAAAUAGGUCCUGAGCAUGAAUAUUUUUUGCUUUAGCAAUACAUCAAUAACAUGUGCCUUUAUUUUGAUAUAGCUUUUCAAUUGUCAAAAUGCUCAUGAUUGUUGUUGGAGGGUAUUGUAUUGAUCAUUUCUUCAAGCACUUCAAGAAAGAUUUUUUUUUUUUAUUUUAUAGAUUAUUUUUCCCAAAAUUAAGAGUUUUAUACUUUUGUGUAGGCACUAUAACAUGCUUCAAAAUUUAAAAUAGGCAUGUAGGAUAUUUCUUUUAGGGAUAUAAAAUGAAUCCUGAAAAAAAAAAAAAAUUAAUGAAAGAUAAAUUUUUUUUUUUUUCAAAAUAUAAAUGCAAGUGGGCUUGAUGGAUAGGCUACUUUAAAGCAUAUUUUAAUUUAUUUUCUCUAUUUAAAAAAAUAAGUGGAAACAUGAAAAGUGAUGAGAUGGCUCCAGAGACUAAACAUACCACAACUUCAAUAAAUUAUAUUACCAUAUAAAAUCAUACUAUAGCAUCACAUGCUAUUCUCCCUCAUACACAUACUAUGUAUAAUAAAUGCAAUCCUAUACCCUUAACUACCCUAAAACAAAUCACAAGCAAACAUUUAUAACAAAACGACCAUACAAGCUGGAAACAGCAUCUCUCUCUCUCUCCCUCUCUCUCUCUCCCUCUCUCUCUCUCCCUCUCCCUCUCUCUUCUUGGCUUUGUUAGCUUUGAAGCUUAGUUUCAUGAUUGGUAUUGUAGAUAAAAUCAUGAUGCAGCUCUCCACUAAACACUUGAGAAAUAAAAUUUUAAAGGCAAUGAAAAAUGUUAAGUAAAGGGAAGUAGUGGGGUGUGUGUACAUGUAAAAGUGUGGUUGAGACAUGAGAUGAGAGAGUGUCCUAUCAUUGGUGUAUUGGUGGUGUUGGUUAGAGGAAAGUGAUGGGUUUUUAUUAGAAAGUUAUUAUAAUCUUUCUCCUCUGUAGGGCUUCCCUACUCUCUCUGCCACCCAACCAUACCUUUCAUUGAUUCCUUCUUUCUUUCCUUGGGACAACUAGACUCUAAUUAUUACAAAUUAUUGUUGUUUUCAUUUACGGUAACAUUUAUGGAUUUGUGUCUUGUAAUGGGACUCAUUUACUUUCUAUUAAGGUUUGCAUUUAACUUUCUUUGAUUUAAUUAAGUUUGUUCAUGAUCAUAAGUUAGGGGUUUUUUUUUUUGAUGGGUGGGGAUAAAUAAGAUUAAAGAUUUAAAUUUAAUUCUAUGUUAAUAAAAAUAAAUGGAAAGCCCCCCUCCUGCUUCGGAUUUUAUAUGAAAUUUUAAAUUUAUUUAUUGGUUUUCGAAACUGGAAUAUCAUUAAAUAAUUAAUUUAGUAUAAGUUUGUAUUAGAAAAAGAGGACAGAACGUACGAGGGAUUUGGUAAUUAAUUUACUCUAUAAUGAUUUAUGAGAAAUUAAAAAGAGAACAUAUGAAUAGAAAAGAACAGAAAGAUUAGUGUUCAAACAUACUAUAUUGAUUACAAAAAUUCAAUAAUAAUAAGAAAAUACUAAAAUUGCCAUUUGGAGGGCCCACUAAAUAGUUUGAGCAUUGAAGAUAUCAUAUGCUUGAAUAAAUAUCUCAUUUAUUGAUAAUUAAUUGGUGAAAUAUCUUAUGAGUAGUUAAGACACUAAGAUGGAUCAAAUAAAUAUCCAACAUCCAUGUUGUAUUAAUAUGAUUUUGAUAUCUCAUAUCACCUUGACACACUUGAAUAUUGGCCCAACUGUAUGUAGCUCAUGUAUUGAUGAUGAAUUGGUAAAAUAUUUGUAUUGGGUAUCCAAAAAGUUUAUGUUUGGAGGGCUAACUAUUGGUGACAGUGCACUCCUGCAGAGCUAAUGAUGAGUUACUUGGGGGUCUGAUGACUCUGAUCUUAGAGGCCUACCCCCAAUCUGCUGUGAAUAGUUGUUGGCUAUUAUGCAUGCAUGUGCACAUCCGUGAAGCAUGGGUGCACCCAAUUUGGAGUUUCCUUUCAAACCCAUACCCUUAAUUUAUUUAAUUUUUAAAAAUAUAUAUCUAUGAUAUUUGGAUGGAUAGAUGGAGCUCCAUGUUUGAAAAAGAAAAAGAAGACUUAGAAUUUGAUUGGAAAUGUGUUUUGUUUUUUUUUUUUAAAUUUAAAAAUAGGGUUGGGAAUCUUUUGAGAAAAAAUAAAUUUUUAAAACUUGUUUUAAAAAUGGGGUUUUAUUUAAAAAUAUAUUUUAAUUAUUUUUAGCUGUUUUUUGAAAUAUUUUAAAAAAUAAUAAUUUAAAUAAAAUGAUUAAAAAUAAAAUAUUAGGGAUAAUUUCUUUUUUAAAAAAAUAUAUAUUUGAAUCUAAACAUUUUAUUCUAAUAAAUAUAAUAGAAUUGUUUUUCAAAUCAUUCCCAAAUAGAUUUUUAUAUUUCUUUCAAACCCAAUUUUAAAAAAAAUAAAAAUAAAAAUUGUAUUCUACAAUUUAUUUUUGAAAAAUAAAAAUGUAAGUAGAUAAUAUUUUUUGGUAAGAAGAAAAAUGACCAAAAAACAUAAGCAAAAUGGAGAGGAAAUGAGGGAGGAGGGCAUUGCGUUUCUUCUACUCCCUUGCUAUCUCUUCCCUUCCGUUAGGAAGUCUUCUCUUUUGGCGGGAGGCCCCACCACUCAAAACCACACUCUCCUCCCUCUCACGUCUCUCUCUCUCUCUCUCUCUCUCUCUUUCCUAUUAAAUCACCAACCACCCAAUCCCUCUUCUCUUCAACCUUUGCCCCCCUAGUCUGCACUCUGCACUCUCCACUCUCUACUCUGUAAUCUCUUUUUCUUUCUCUCCAUCCAAAACGACGUCGUUUCAUCAUCAACACCAUGCAGCUCUUCUCCCUCUCCUUCUUCCUCUUCUUCUUCCUUCUCAAUCCUACUCCCUCUCUCUCACUUUCUUCUGAUGGCCUCUCCUUACUCUCCCUCAAGUCCGCCGUUGACGACGCCGCCUCCGCCUUCUCCGACUGGAACGAGGACGACCCCAACCCCUGCCGCUGGACCGGCAUUUCCUGCAUGAAUGUCUCCGGCUUCUCCGACCCCCGCGUCGUCGGAAUUGCGAUCUCCGGUAGGAAUCUCCGUGGGUAUAUUCCGUCUGAAUUGGGGAAUCUUUUCUAUCUCCGGCGGCUCAAUCUUCAUGGGAAUAACUUUUACGGGUCAAUUCCGGUUCAGUUGUUUAAUGCUUCGUCUUUGCAUAGUAUUUUUUUGUAUGGGAAUAAUCUCUCCGGUACUCUCCCGCCGGCGAUGUGUCAGCUGCCCAGGUUGCAGAAUGUCGAUUUUUCCAAUAAUUCGCUGUCGGGAUCGAUUCCGGAGGGUUUGAAGAAGUGUAAACAGUUGCAGAGGUUGGUCGUCACCCGGAAUCAAUUUUCCGGCGAAAUUCCGGAGGGGAUUUGGCCGGAGAUGGAGAAUUUGGUUCAGCUCGAUCUGUCGUCGAAUGAGUUCAACGGAUCGAUUCCUGAUGAUAUCGGUGAGCUGAAGUCGCUCUCCGGAACUCUGAACCUCUCUCACAACCAUUUCACAGGAAAGAUUCCAAAAUCGCUCGGGAACCUGCCGGAGACGGUGAGUUUCGACCUCCGGAGCAACAAUCUCUCCGGCGAAAUCCCCCAGACCGGCGCGUUUGCCAACCAAGGCCCCACCGCAUUCCUCAACAACCCCGACCUCUGCGGCUUCCCCCUCCAGAAAUCCUGCCGGAACCCAUCCCGGAGUUCUCCGGAGGGUCAGAGCUCAUCCCCAGAAUCUGGCACCAAUGCAAGAAAAGGCCUGAGCCCAGGUUUGAUCAUCCUAAUAUCCGUCGCUGACGCCGCCGGAGUGGCUUUCAUUGGCUUGAUCAUAGUGUACAUAUACUGGAAAAACAGGGAUUCACAGGGCUGCAGCUGCACCGGCAAAGAAAAACUCGGCAGUACCGGAAGAUCCGCUUUGUGUUCGUGCCUUUCUGCCCACAGUUUUCAGAAUAAUGACUCCGAAAUGGAAUCAGAUAAGGAAAGAGGAGGCAAAGGAGCAGAGGGUGAUCUUGUAGCCAUUGACAAAGGCUUCAGUUUUGAACUGGAUGAGCUUUUAAGGGCAUCAGCCUACGUGUUAGGAAAGAGUGGUUUGGGGAUUGUGUACAAGGUGGUGCUCGGAAAUGGAGUUCCAGUGGCGGUGAGGCGGUUGGGGGAGGGUGGGGAGCAGAGGUACAAGGAAUUUGUGGCUGAGGUUCAGGCUAUUGGGAGAGUGAAGCACCCCAACGUUGUCAAGUUGAGAGCUUACUAUUGGGCUCCUGAUGAGAAGCUCCUGAUUUCGGAUUUCAUCUCCAAUGGCAACUUGGCUAAUGCUCUCCGAGGUAACCUUCCUAAAUUUUUCCUUCACGUGUGAAUUCACAAUUUUUUCUGCGUUUUCCUAAUUACCAAUUUUAGAAUGUGUAGUUCCUUAAAUAUUAUUUAUCAUUUCAAUUACUUAUCCUUACAUGAGCUCUGUUCAACCUUGGAUCCUGAAUGAAUCCUGUUCCCUUCUUGGGAUGUUGAGCUUUUGGAUUGAAGUUUGAAGCAAAACUGGCAAAAGCCAGAAAUGUCUAAAGUUUAUGUUUUUACCUUUUAUGCAUGGUGUGUGUGUAUGUUGGAUCAAGAAUUAAAGGGUCAACUUUAGGAUACACAAUUAAGAAACAUGGUGAAUGAUAGCGAGGUUUUGGAGUAUCGGUCCUGGCACAGUUAGGAGAUCCAACGUAAGGGAGUUCCCUUGACCAUGAUUGAGCAUCAUCAAAGCCAAUGCCAGCAAGGAUGAUGGGGUGCCCAUGAUGCAAGGGGUUAGAAUUUUGAUAGCUCAAUCACGCAGCAGUGGGCCAAGAUGGAUGGCAUUCCAUAAUUUUUCAAUAGUAGGUUAGCUUUUUUGUGUAACGAAAGCUACAGCCCCGCAUGGGCUAAUCUCCCCGCCUUGUAAUCAUGUUGAUUAUUGGGAUCCAAGAGGGUGUUUUGAGUAUGUUUUGAGAUUUGCUGGUGCCUGAUUUGGAUUUCUUGAGUACUAAUUAAAGCGUCCUCUAAAGGUUCCUCUUGGUCUUUUUCUUCCACUUUAGUGAGAGAAAAUUUUCUGGAAAGAAGUGAGCUUUGGAUUUCUCCUUUUCCUCUUCCUUUUUCCUGAAAAAGGGUAGACUUUCUUUCCAGUGCACCUGUUUGCUUUCAAUAUCAGCCAGGUUGAUCAUCUCCCUUCUCCCUUGCAACACAGCUCAUCUCCUUUUAUGACUUCUUGGUAUAGUGGGUCCCUUGGUCUUUCCUUCUUGUUACUGCACUCAUAGUUAUGUCUCACCUGGUACCGUUGCUCUCACUUUCCUUUUUCUUUGACCAGAAUUGAUCUCAAAGAAAAUUAGUAACUGUGAAACCACAUACAGAGAAAAGAGAGAGAAGUUGUUGAGAUACAUGUGCAUAUUGAUUUAAAAGGGUCAUCUACGGAGUUUAAGAUUCUGAAAGUCCAUAUGCCUUGAUUGACCUCAAUAAGAAUUAAUUUUCAAUGGUCAGUUCAGUACUGACCUAGGAGUUCUUUAUGGCUCUCAUGUGAAUGCAUGCGCCAUCUUGGCCUUAUCUUAUCAACCACUCUCCCACUCAGGCAUUUGCAUUCAAGGUUUUAAAAAUGAAGGAUGGUCAAUUUUGAUAGGAUUUUAUUAGUAUUAAUUGCAUCUUAUUCAGUUAACAUGGAUGAUCCAGUAGUAGCCUUAUGAUCCAUCUAUUGGGAACUUAGUAUAUGCUUAGGCAUCGCAACUGAUCAUACAAUAUUUUUAAUUUUACAGGGAGAAGUGGACAGCCAUCAUCGAGCCUCUCAUGGUCAACCAGGCUGAAAAUUGCCAAGGGAACAGCCCGGGGCUUGGCCUACCUGCAUGAAUGCAGUCCAAGAAAGUUUGUCCAUGGAGACAUAAAACCCUCCAACAUCCUCCUUGACAACGAAUUCCAGCCCUAUAUCUCUGAUUUUGGCCUCAACAGACUAAUUACAAUCACAGGCAACAACCCUGCCUCAUCCGGUGGCUUCAUUGGUGGAGCCCUCCCCUAUCUAAAAUCAGUCCAACCAGAACGACCCAACAAUUACAAAGCCCCAGAGGCUCGGGUUGCCAACAGCCGCCCUACACAAAAAUGGGAUGUCUACUCAUUUGGGGUUGUAUUACUUGAACUGCUGACCGGAAAAUCCCCAGAGCUCUCCUCUCCAACCACAUCAACAUCCACAGAAGUCCCAGAUCUAGUGAAGUGGGUGAGGAAAGGAUUUGAAGAGGAGAAUCCCCUUUCAGAUAUGGUAGACCCCUUGUUGCUCCAAGAAGUGCAAGCCAAGAAGGAGGUGCUAGCAGUGUUUCAUGUGGCCCUUGCCUGCACUGAGGGAGACCCAGAACUUCGGCCUAGGAUGAAGACUCUCUCAGAAAACCUAGAAAGAAUUGGAUCAUAAGAAAAAACCCAUAUGGUCUUCAAUCAACAUGGUUAUCAAGGAAUAUCAAAUUUCCCUGAUUUUGCAGUGAUGGUGAAUUUUGUAAGCUUUAAGCUUUAUGACAGCAAUGCAGAAUCCUCCUUGGCCUUCACCUUCAAAUCCAACAUCCCCAGAACACAGAAAUUUUCUCCAUGUUUCAGCAAAUUUUGGGAACAUCAUUGGAUGGAUUACACAUUAAUUGUUUAUUUUCUUUCUUUUCCUUCUGUUGGUCAAGUAGCUAAAUUUGUAAUUUAAAUAUCUGUAUCAAUGCCUCAUGCCCUCAAGUAUGUGCUCCAAAUAAAACUGGUAUAUUUUUUUCUUCUCUUCUUCUCUUCUUUUGCUCUUGGUUUUGUGUCUCACUUUGCAAGGCUUACUAGUUGCCAUGUAUAGUCUUUUUCCUGUCUCGCCAUGUAUUGAAACUUUUGAUGAAUCCAAACUUGUAUCAAAAUUACAACACUUAUAGGGUGGGAAUCUUGGUUUAAUUUGGCUUGCCUCAUAAACAAGCAAUCAAUAAGCUGAUCAAAAUUUUAGCAGCAUUUUGCCUAUUUAUAAUAUUUGACAAAAAUUUUCAUCUAUAAAAAUAUAUGUACAUAAUUCAUUAUAAUUAAUUGGUAAGCAUAACAAAACAAUGACCCACAAACAAAUUGUAGAAAUUACAUGUUUACAUAAUCAACACUAAAACGAAUGAACAUCAUAAGUAUUGAUAUUAGCACUCGAUUUAAUAAAACAUUGCGAAUAAAAAUUAAUGGAUAACACCAAAUGCGUUAUAAAGUUCAUGAUUACAAUUUUUAGGAUAACAUAUACAUUCACUUGACAACAAACAAAUGACAAUAUUACCCUUUCAACAACUAAUAAGCAAAAUAUGACUUUAGUGAUCUCUUAUAGACAUCGGAUGUUAUAAGUUGACAAUUAGGAGUUGAAGUUAGUGUGGAUUAUACUUCUCGACUCAAAUAAAGCAUUGCGGAUAUUCUUAUAACUUAAAAGUUGUUAAAAAAUAAUUAAUUAUAUUAUGUAAAUUUUUAUCAAUAUCAACUUUCAUACUUCUUUUCCUCACAUAAGGGUUGUCCAAUUCUAAGAAACGUGUUGACACGUUACACAUUCAUCAAAUGCAUGCUUGUUGUGCACCCAUAAAUUAUUGUUUUGAAUCUUAUCCCAAUUAAAUGUAUAGGGAUUCUUCUUUAGAAGUAACCAAUUUAUGGAUUCCUCUUAUCAAACCACUAGAAAUAUGAUUAAUAUACUUGUGCACAUAUCCGAGAAUAUAAACAUAAAUUUUGAAUAAUUUUAGAGACCAGUUACACUAACUAUAUAAGGCCAGUGAACUAAUUGUUCAAGAGCAUACCAAACAACUCAUUCAAAAGGAAUUUGAGUAUUUCCAAUCAACUUUCUUACUUCUUUCUCUCGUUCAAGAGUUGCUCACUUCCAAGAAACAUAUUGAUACAUCACACACAAUCAUAUAAUGUGUGCACCCAUACAUUUGAGUUUCAAAUCCCUAUCCCCAUUAAAUGCACAAGGAACCCCACUGGUUCUCUCCAAAGCAAUUGAUAUAGGAAUUUUUUAUAUCAAACCAUUAGAAAUAUGAUUAACAUAUUGAUGUAUAUAUCUAAGAAUAAUAAUGUGGAUUUUGAACAGUAUACAAAGCAAUUACACCAACUAUACAACGCACAAAAAGUGUAUAAGAUAGUCUCUUGUGAGUCAUUUUGAAUGUUUCUUUAUAACUUGCUUUUUUCCCUGUAAAAAAAAUUUCAAAUAUUUUAAUAAAUGACAAUAAAAAAACAACCAUUAAAUUUUGUUUUCAUAGUUUAAAAAAUCCAAUAAUAAUAUAAUAUAACAAUGGAUUGUUAUUUUUAAAGAUAAAAUUAAAAUGAAAAGUAAAAAAUGAUAAAUUUAAUUUUUUAUCUUUCAUUUGAUUUGUAAAAUAUUUUAAAAAUAGAUUGAAAAAUAAAAAUAUUUAAUUUGAAAACCGAAAAUAAUAAUAACUUUCAUAGGUUUACAUUAAAAAAGUAAUAAUUCUAAAAUAUAUUUAAAAAAUUAGGUAUUAAUUUUUUUUUUUUGAUCUCAUAUUUUAAAUUUUUUGAAAGAAUUUUUAAAGAUAUAAACAACCCUAUAUUUUUUAUAUAUUAAUUUUUAUUUUUAAAUUUAUAAAAAUUAUUAUUACCUCCCAUUUUUAAAAAGAAAAAAUUUGUUUAAAAAAUCUUAAUACUAAAUUUUUUUAAAAUUUAUAGAAGUAAAAAAAAAUUAUUUUAAAUUUUGAGGUGUAAACCGGAUGUUUCAUAUAUUUUGCUUUCCUUUCCAUUAAAUAAUUUCCACAUUAAAUAAUUUCCACGUCAUCAAUCUCCAGGGUAAUUCUUUUAAAACCCUAAUAAAGUAUUUGGGCAUUUUUGACUCAGAAAAUAUGCUAUCCUUUUAGCAGAUGUAGAAACUUGCUAGUUAUGGCAGAAAACUUAUACGAUUUGUUCGAUAUGGCUUCCUGCAAUGCUUGCAAUUCCUAGUGCUUAAUGGUCUUUACCAAAAUCUUUCAGAACUGGUCCAAUCAUCAAGGAAAGUUCAGGUGACAGACACUUCGAAAUUCCUUUGUAGCUUUUUUAAUCAUAAAGCUUUAUGCAAAAUAUAAGGAAUUUAGACCCAUUAUCACCUCCAACAACCCUAUAUUGUAAUUGUCCUUUUUUUUUUUUUUUUUCUGUCCUUCCCUUGAAUCUGCUAGGGUUUCUCGGAAUUUAGACCCAUUAUCACCUCCAACAAUCCCUUUAUUGUAAUUGUCUUUUUUUUUUUUUUUCUGUCCUUCCCUUGAAUCUGCUAGGGUUUCUCGGAACCGAACGAGAUUAGUCUCGUGGAUGUGGAGAAGUUGGGCCGAAUUGGGCGCUGGAUUUGAUUUCUAGGUAUUUGAUUUCGAUUUUGGAUGGGGUUAUAUUUUGUUGUCAUUAUUUUUAAUUUUCUGGGAUUCGCUUUAACUGGUCUUAUCAAGCAUGGAUAGAGAUGGUUUUGUACUAGUUAUUGUGUGAAAAAGUUUCAAGAAUUGAACUUCCUUGAAACCGAUGUAACCCUUUAUUUUUGCUUCUUGUUUCCUCAAAAUGUUAGUUUGAGGAAUUCGGUUCUUAGAUAAUUGAUCUAAUUUUAGGAGACUUUUUUGAAGGGUGUGUUUUUUAUUUUAUUUUUUAAGGGUUUCAAUCCUUUUAGCUUUGACACCGAAUCUGGAUGUGCUGAUUUUUACCUAGUUAUGUAAUGAAAAUUUUCCAAGAAUUAUAUUUCGGGUUUUGAGAAAUAGAAACCAUCGGCCUAGAAAUCUUUUUUUUGGUUAUGUGCUCAACGCAGUUCUUGGAUUUAUUUGGGUUUUUAAAAAUAAAUAUAAUUCAGUAGUGUGAUUUUGGUCUUUUUUGGUUGCAUAGUGUGAUAGUUUUCUUUUCUCAAAUGGGUUUGUUUCUGGGGUUUUAGAAAUUUAAAAUCGUAUUAACAUUUUUUUUUUUGUUCCAAUGGAAAAUAAAAAUAAAGUGAGGGAGGCUAUGCUGUUGAGUGAGGUUUCAAAUGGGUAAUAAAGUGAGGGCACUAUGCUGCUGAAUGAGGUUUCAUAUUGCUCUGAUUAUGCUGCUGAAUGAAGUUUCUGUUUAUUUUCUUUACUUGUUUGUAUGGUCUUGGUUGUUUUGGUUUUCAGAAUUUUAGGAUAAGGUUCUAUCUGUCCUAACUUUUUUAGGUGUUCAACUUAAUAAUGCAUCUCAGUUUUUGAUUUUCAGAUAACAUUCAGGUGCAUAUAAUACAUGACAAAAUUGUGAUUUCUUUAUGCUGUUCUCUUCAAUCUUCUGAAUUUUUAUGUUUGAUUUGAGUUAUUGUUAAUUUGAAAAGUUUUGAAUUGGGAUCUAAAAAAUCAACCUUAGCAAGUCUAUUACACGGUAACAGGAGAAUUAAUUCUUUUUGUUUCAUUUGUAUGAUUAUCAUGCUCAUGGUUAUGGUGAUUGGUUGAAAAAUCUUAUAUGAUGAUGAUGUUGUUUAUAUAAUUCUAGCUUUGGUAAAUAUACUAGUAAUUUUUAAGAACUAGUUUAAUUUUUAGAAUCUUGUUUUCACUCAGCCUGUUGCCUGUUGCCUCAGGUGGAAUGCCUUUCUCCUUUGACAAGACUAAUCCUCUCUAACUCUAACCUGAACUUCUGCUUUCUUCAUCUCAUGCUGUUGCUGCUGCUAUUGCCACAUUGUCUCAUGGAAGCUAGAACACAACCAAUGUCUAGCAUGUAAUUGAAAAGAAAAGUAAAGAAAGGUAAAUUUUUUGUAUUUUUUUAAAAGCAAAAAUCAGAGUUGUUGGGUUUCUGGAUUGUGGAGGCACUAUAAAUAAAGGAUUGGAAGAGAAGAAUCCAAAGCUCUACAUUGACAUGGAGGUCAGUAUUGAAUUCCCUAGUCUAUGCUAUUGCUUUUGCUUAGUCCAAAAUGAUAGAUUGUUUACUUAUUUAUUUUCUCUGGGUUUGGUAUCUAUAUUCAGAAACGAGGAGUUGAUGCUGGACCUAUUGACCUGGACCAGGCUACAGUGACCUUUGAACCGGAUCAGGGCGGAGGUGGGGGAUUACAUGUUCCUGGGAAGGAUAGAGUAGUUUUCAGACCUCCUCAGAGGAAAUCACUAUUAGGUAUUUUAUAAAAUUGAGAUGUCUCUCUCUUAGGAAGUGAAACCCCCUUCUUUUUGAAAUUGAGAAAAGAAAUAAAUUAAACCUAGUAUUGCCUUGUUGGCUUUCUUGUUGGAAAAUUGUAUCUUUUUUUUUCCAGCAUGAGAGGCAAAUGCUUCCCCAUGUUUCUUUAUUUUCUAGUCCCAUGUCUUUUGUUGACUUUGUUGGAGAACUUAUACUUUUAUCUAUGCAUUGGAUUGGAACUAGGCUGAGGGAUUGUGGGUGCUCGUUCAUUUCUCCCUUUCUUCUUGUGUUCCUGUACAUUUUAUUGUUUUUAAAGGUCCUCUCAUCUUUCUUUGUAGAUUAUUCUUUUAAUCAAUACAAGUAUAAUUUCUUAUCCUCAUAAAACAUACAGUUUGUUGAACAGUAGAACUGAGCCAAACCAAACCUAGUUUAAAAAACUUGGUUGGUUCCGUUCCAGUUGAAAUACAUAGGAAGUUGUUUCAUUAAUAAGUAUUUUGAUUAUUUGCUUCCUGAUAUAUAUUUUUUGAAUUUUUUUUUAUAGGUAAGCUUACUGAUAUGUAAAAUGAAAUGUAAAAUUAAUUGGCUAAACAACCAAGCCCAUUUGAUAAUGAGAGGUCAAGCACUUGGGAAGCCCAAAUAUUGGGAAAGGAAGUUUCUCAUGCAUUUGUUGAGGAGAAAAUCAUUUCCACCCUUUAUGGGUUUUUUAUUUAUUUUUAUUUUUAAUAUUUAAUAAUAGGCUUCUAGAGUGAAUUGUAGGUUGCCAGGUCCUCUCUCUAUAUUAAUGAUUAUGCCUUUUGGCCUCCCUCUCUAGUCAUUGCAGUGUCUGGAACUUGAUGCAUCUUGUUCCUUGUUAAUUUUGGAGUUAAUGGUCUCUUUUACCUAGUCUCUAACCAUCUUAGUCAACUUGCCCCCUUCAACUGCUGGUGCUUUAAGGACUUGCAAAAUGUGUUGCAAGACUUAGAACUUCAGAUUGAAUGGAGCAACAGUUUUGAAUAAUUUGUCCUUGUGUGCCUCCUGAGAUUCUUUCCCCUUUGUUUAAGAUUUCAUUGUAAAAGUUAGUAAACUAAGGCCCCUCUGUCCCUUUGCUUGCAAAUCUUACAAGCAUAAUGUAUGAAAAUUAUUUUAUAUUUAUUUUAUUACUUGACAAUCAGUAUGUGGCUAUUGAAACAGGGUUAGAUGUCCUUGCUGAUGCAAAAAGAGGAGGAUCUAAGGCUGAUGGCGCAUUCAAGGUUCCAAGAGAAAAAGGUGCUUCUGUUGUGGCUUCUAUGGAUGAAGAGGAGAGUUCCUUGUCCUCUGGAAUAGACGAAGAAAUAAGUACUGUGAUUAGUGGUGUGCGUAAUGGUUCUGGCAGGCGAUAUCGUGAAACAGCUGCAAGCGAGGCAUCUCAUUUAGGUACCUUUUCUUAAAAACAUUUUAAAAGAAUUUUUGGCUUCUGGUAACUGCUGUUAGCUAUUCUGACUUGAUGAUUGUUAAUCAUAUUGGCAAUUCAGUUUAUGUUAUCAGUCACCUUAAAAGGCUAGAUUUUAAUCAAAUAAUAACUAUGAUUUUCAUUCUGUUGGAAGUCAAUAUGCUCAUUGGACUCUUAUGGAUAUUAUUUUUUGAUCAGAACUCUUAUGGAUAUUAUUCAAAUAAUGAAUUGCAUAAGUUCACAUAUUCUGGAAGUUUAGGCCCUCACAGACUAAGGAGAUAAUGCCCAUGUGGUCAUGAUGUACCAAAAUUUUGUCUUUCUAAAAUAUAUUUCUCCAUCCUGAGAUCAUCUGCAAACUGUUUAUAAUGAAAGGACAGUUAUGAGCAUCAUUAAAUGCUAGCCAAUCCACAAGUAGUAGUUAUCUUUUUAUGAAGGCUUAUCUGGAAUUUUGUUUACAUUCUAUUUUAUGAAAAACUAUGUUUAGAUUUAAAGAAGUAUAUACACUGGAUACCAAAAAGCUAAUACACUAAAUAUGGCUGCAAAAAAAGAAAAAGAAAAAAAAACGGAAAAAAAAAAGAACACUUUGGAAAUUGCAAGUGGGAUAUAGAGAUGCCUAAAAUCACUCUCACAAGGGUAUUACAAGCCAUUGACCCAUUAUUUGCUUACUGAAAAUCAUAGUGGGGUAAAACUAUCCACAACCGGGGACUUUGGGGGUGCUAUGCUCUGGAAUAGUAAUUGUUGUCUGAUCAACAUAACUUGAUUCCUGAAGGAUGUAUUUGAGGGGUGACAUUCUCCAUAUCAUGGAACAGAAUAUGCAGGAUUUUGUUUUUCAUAUGUGAAUGCUGGACAUGAUUUUUCACAGUUAGGGAAAGACAUGGAGUGGGGGUGUGGAAGGCAAUCAGGAGCAGAUGAGAGAUUUUUAACAGCAAAAUCAGUUUCAGGGUGGGAAAUGGGAGGAGGGUGAAAUUUUAGGAGGAUAAGUGGUGCAACGACUUACCCCUUGAAGAGGUUUCUCCUACAUUGUAUUCCAUAGCUAUUGCCAAGGAUGCUUGGGUAGCUGAUGUGUGGGAGUAAGAGAGGUAUGGUGGUUUAUGGAACCCUCAUUUUUCAAGAUGGCUCUGUGAUUGGGAGCUAGGUGGGAUGGAGGAUCUCUUUUGGAAGCUUCAAGAGUAGAUAAUUUGCAAAGAUGUAGAGGAUAAAAUGGUUUGGUUGAACUUGAAGGGUGGUAUUUUCAGUAAAAUCUCAUUACUCUUCUUUGUCCAGCGGUAGAAUGGGGACUUCCCCCUCUUGUCUUGUAUGGAACCCCUAGAUGGCUAGAUCCCAUGGAGAGUUAGGUUUUUUGCUUGGGAAGUUGUAUGGUGAAGGAUUUUGACACUGGAUCAAUUCAAUAGAAGGGGGUGGAAGAUGCCAAAUAGAUGCAACUAGCCUACAUGUGCAAAGGAGGAGAAGAAACAAUUAACUAUAUUCUCUUUCACUGUUCAAAAGCAGUCAUUUUGUGGUAAUUGAUUUAUGCUCUCUUUGGAAUAGAGAUCAUGCAAUCCUUUGUAUGGAAAGCAUUGUUGGACAAACAUGGCUCCUUUGUGGGGAAAAAGACGUAGAAAGUUGGAAAGUUGCUCUUUUAUGCCUUUUUUGGACCAUAUGGAAAGAGAAAAAUGGGAGGACGAUUGAGAAUAUUGAAAAAGCGCACAGAAAGAAUAGGGGAAGUAGUGAGUGAACCAUGAAACCUGGAGGUAGAUGCUGGUUUGGUGUUGAGAAGAAAACUUUUGAGAUUAACAUAGAAGAGCAGAAAGGGAGAGUGCGUGGGAAAAUCUGUGAGAGAGGCCCUAAGUCUUCUUCAUGGAUAAGAUUUGGAGGGAAAAGUCUAUCUUUGUUGCUUGAAGGGGUUGAGACUUGCUGUGUGCUACAGGAAAGAACUCCUUUCAAGAAGUUUUGGUCGGAAGGGGAUAGAAACUAUAGCCUGGAACUGCGAAGCAACAAAGCAGGGAGAUUCCUGUUUUGCGUUGUAAGGGAUGUGGAGAACAAAAGGUUCUCCUUGGCUUUUCCAGAAGGUGGGGGGCUCGUUGGAGGCUGGAAUCUGCUCGUCAGUAAACUGAAAAGCUUGGGUGUCUCUCCCUUUCAAUGGAAAGGUGCUCUACCUCAAGCUCUGCCUAACAGAGGAGUGGACAGAGCCUCCAUCCCCCUUCGGGUUUGUCCCGCGCCCCGCGAUGCUGUCUGGUUAGAAGCUGAUAAAGAAUCUCUCGUGAGAAAUGAGGAAAUGCUGGAUAGGUGUCUGAUAGGCCUUUGGAAGGGAGACUCGGACCGCCUCCCUGAUCCCGUUUCCUUCGGGGCUUGGGCGAAAAAUACCUGGCUCCUAGAAGGGAACCUCUGGCUGUCUAACAUGAGGGAAAACCUAUUGUUUUUGGAAUUUGAGUUUGCGGACGAAGCUGAGAGGGUGCUUAAUUUAGGGGAGAAAAGCUUUAGAGGAAGAAGCUUCCACCUUGAAAAAUGGAAGCCUUCAGUGGGCUGCCUUAAGGAAGACAACGGGGAUUCGCGCCUUGUAUGGGUCAAAAUUUUAGGUCUCCCCCUGCACCUAUGGGGAAGAAGCCUAUUCAAGAGGUUUGGGGACUCUUGUGGAAGAUUUGUGGCUGUGGAUGAAAACACAGCCGAACGUCGGAAUCUCAAGUGGGCCAGGAUCCUCAUCGAAACCAGAGACUGGCAUCACCCAAGUUCUCUGCAAGUGGUCGCCGACUCCUCUUGUUUCGCUCUGCAGCUCUGGUGGGAAGAAGAACCCCGCAUCUCCACUGUGCUCCCUUCCCAGGGGUCUGGUGUUUGGAAGCGCAAGGAUGACGAAGGGUCCCACUCACGCGCCGAGGGGAGCGUGGGCUUUCCGCCCUCUUCCUCAGCCCCUUCGCAGCCUGAAAAGCCGCCCCCGCAGCCUGAAAAGCUGCCUCCGCAGCCUAUAAAGCUGUCUCCGCCGGCUUUGGGGAGAGACGACGCCUCAGACAAGUCAAUGUCAACUGCCCACCAGGCCCUUGCCUGCGAUUUGGAUUUGGGCCUUGGUCUGGACUCCUCGGCCCACCCGAACCUGGCCUGCCCCAUUGGGCCUGGGCUAGGGAAGGCCCAGUCUCUGGGAAACACUUAUAUACCCCUUGGCCCAAUUUCUUCCAGUGACUUAGGGCUGGGAACCCCUUCCCGCUCCCCGCGCCGGAGGAGAGGACUCUCCGCUGAGAGCCCCCAGUUGGAAGCGCCGUCCCAUUUGGAAGUAACGUCGGCAAAUGACCUCCCUCCCACUGCCGAAGGCCGCAAUCUUCAAGGUAUGCUCUUGCCCCCUCCACCCCCCUUGAAUGGGAUGCCUUCUUCUCCUUCUUCUACUCCAUUCUUGGUUACGGGAUCCGAGAGGGAAAGGGGAUGCUCUGGACAGUCGGAUCCGACGUCAAGAGAGACUGAAGAGACGCCGAUUCCUCUGUCCUUGAUGCUUAGAGAUGGGUCGACAGUGGUCCUGAGGCCCGAUUUUGCGGCGAAGCAGAAGGACCACAUGGAUAUCUCCCCGCGCGAAGAAGUUUGGUCAGAGGAGGAGAUUUCCAAUCUCUUCCAUUUUAGCAAAGUCUUGGGAAUGCCUGUCGAAGGACACGAGGUUGAAAUUCUGAAUUUACUUGAGAAAUUGAAGCUGAGGACGGGAAAUAGCACCCUUUGCAAGCGACGAAAGAAGAAAAAAUCUUGCACCACCCGUUUCGAAAGAGAGUUAAAAAGGUUGGAAUGCUCUGUUAGUUAUGGGGAGACUUCAGGGUUAGCCAAAAAGUCCGGCCACAAUUCCUGGGAUUUGGUUCCAGUUGACUAAUGAGAAUUAAAAUUCUCUGUUGGAAUGUUCGUGGGCUUAAUGACUCAGAGAAAAGAAAGUUGAUCAAGGGCGUGGUAAGGAACCAAAAACCAGAUUUGGUUUGCCUUUUGGAGACGAAGGUGAAAGAGAUGUCUCAGCAAAUGGUCAACAGUGUGGGCAUUGGAAGAUUUCUUAAUUGGGCCUCUGUAGAUGCUAGGGGUGCGGCAGGAGGUCUCCUGCUCCUCUGGGACAACAGAGUAUUGGAGAACUUGGAGGUAGAAAGAGGGGGGUACUCUAUCUCUAUCCGUUUCAGAAACUGUGUCGAUGGUUUCACUUGGAUUUUUUCUGGGGUAUAUGGGCCGGUGAUUAGCAGUGAAAAGGAGGAUUUUUGGGAGGAACUUAGUGCCUUCCGUGGCCUCUGGGAGGACCCCUGGUGCUUAGGAGGGGACUUCAAUGCUGUUAGAUUCCCAGAGGAAAGAAGGAACUCCCUUAGGCUCACAACUGAAAUGAGAAGAUUCUCAGAGGUUAUAGGGGAAUUGGGGCUAAAGGAGCUUCCUCUGGCUGGAGGCCCUUACACUUGGAUAGGGGGUUUGAACUCUCAAGCUGCCUCUAGACUGGACCGUUUUCUGUUUUCGGACCAGUGGGAAGACCACUUCUCCGCCAUCACCCAAGCUGCUCUCCCUCGUUUGAUUUUUGACCAUAGUCCUAUAGUCCUUCAAGCUGGAGGAUUCUCCUCAGGCAAAAGCCCUUUCCGGUUUGAAAAUAUGUGGCUAAAAAUUGAUGGUUUCCAAGACCUAGUCCGAAGCUGGUGGAAUGGGUAUUCUGUUGAUGGUUCUAGUAGCCACUGCAUUGCCGAGAAGCUCAAGGCGCUCAAGAAGGACUUGAAGAACUGGAACAAGGAGGUGAUAGGCAAUGUCUCUCUCAAUAGAGCAGAAGCCUUCUCUCGCCUGCAGCGUUGGGAGUCCAGGGAGAAUGACGGCCCCCUCACUGCUAGCGAAGUAGAGGCUAAAAAUCAAGCUCUUGAGGACUACAAGAAAUGGGCUCUGUUGGAAGAAACUUCUUGGAGACAGAAGUCAAGAGAAAUUUGGCUAAAAGAAGGCGACAAGAACACCAAAUACUUCCACAAAAUGGCCAAUGCUAGGGCAAGGAAGAACUUCAUGUCUAAAAUUAGAAUAAAUGAGGUCACUCUCUCUUCUAGUGAUGACUUAAAAGAAGGCGUUUGUAGGGCCUAUAAAUCCCUCCUCUCAGAACCAGGGGAUUGGAGGCCUAAUAUCAAUGGCCUUAACUUCAAGGAGCUGGGAGAAGGCUUGGCCAGAAGCCUAGAAGUUGAGUUUUCUGAGGAGGAAAUCUAUGCAGCCCUAAGCAGCUGCUGUGGCAACAAAGCUCCAGGCCCGGACGGUUUUACAAUGGCCUUUUGGUUGUUUUGCUGGGAUGUUGUCAAAUCAGAAAUUUUGGAGCUCUUCAGAGAGUUUCACCUCCAUGGGACCUUCCAGAGAAGUUUGAACUCCACGUUUCUUUUGCUCAUUCCCAAAAAGGAAGGGGCUGAAGACCUAAGAGAAUUCAGACCAAUCAGCUUGGUAGGGAGUGUAUACAAACUACUAGCCAAAGUCCUUGCUAAUAGGCUGAAAUCAGUGAUGGGAGAGGUGAUAUCUGAUUCGCAGCAAGCUUUCGUCCAUGGGAGACAGAUUCUAGACGCUGUUCUUAUCGCCAACGAAGCCCUUGAUUCUAGAUUAAAAGACAACGUGCCGGGCCUCCUCCUUAAAUUGGACAUUGAGAAGGCUUUUGACCAUGUAAAUUGGAACUUCCUCAUAGAUGUGAUGUCUAGAAUGGGAUUUGGGCACAAAUGGAUCAAUUGGAUGAAAUGGUGUUGGUCCACGGCCUCAUUCUCGAUCCUCAUCAAUGGGUGCCCCACGGGCUUCUUCCGUAGUUCUAGGGGAUUGAGGCAAGGCGACCCUCUCUCCCCCUACCUCUUUCUUUUUGCCAUGGAAGCUCUUAGCCAGCUGCUGUCACGUGCAAGAAAUGAGGGCUUUUUUUCUGGCUUCAAAGUGGGAGGAAGAGGCAGAGAGGGGCUGAUCGUUUCCCAUCUCCUAUUCGCCGAUGAUACCUUAAUCUUCUGCGACGCCGAUGCAGUUCAGUUGCAAUACCUUAGCUGGACCUUCAUGUGGUUUGAGGCGAUUUCAGGGCUAAAAGUCAAUUUGAGCAAGUCUGAGGCCAUCCUAGUGGGGGAGUGCCCCCCCAUGGAGUCCCUCGUCUCAAUUUUGGGAUGUAAGAUUGGAUGUUUACCUACUUCCUACCUGGGUCUUCCCCUUGGAGCCCUCUACAAAUCCACUAGUGCGUGGGAUGCAGUGGAAGAAAGAUUCAGGAAAAGAUUGUCUCUCUGGAAAAGGCAAUACCUUUCCAAAGGUGGCCGUCUAACCUUAUUAAAAAGCACCCUCUCUAGCCUCCCAACCUACUUUCUCUCUCUCUUUGUGAUCCCGAAGAGAGUUUGUGCAAGACUCGAAAAAAUCCAAAGGGAUUUCUUAUGGGGAGGGGGCGCUUUAGAAAACAAACCUCACUUGGUGUGUUGGAAGGUUAUUUGUGCCGCUAAAAAGGAUGGAGGCUUGGGCAUACGCAACCUAGCUAUUUUUAAUAAGGCCCUUCUUGGUAAGUGGUUGUGGAGAUUUGCCAAUGAGAACGACUCCCUUUGGAAGCAAAUUAUCUCUAGUAAAUAUGACCUUCAAGAUGGGGGAUGGUGCUCAAAAGGUGGUAGAGAUCGCUAUGGGGUGGGUGUUUGGAAGGCCAUCAGAAACGGUUGGGAAGACUUUCGAUCUCACUCCCGCUUUCUUGUAGGGGAUGGCACCAGAGUGAAGUUUUGGAAGGACUUGUGGUGUGAAAAUCAAUCUCUGGAAGAAGCUUUUCCCAUCUUAUUUAAUCUCUCAGUCAACAAAGAAGGCUUGGUUGCUGAGGCCUGGGAGGAGGACGGAGCUGGGGGUAGCUGGGGACCUCGUUUCAACAGACACCUCAAUGAUUGGGAGGUGGGAGAAGUGAAAAACUUAUUAAGCAAGCUUCAUCCUUUGGCUAUUAGAAGAGGUGUGGAUGACUCGCUCAGGUGGAAAGCAAAUAAGAAUGGGACCUUCUCUGUUAAGUGUUUUUAUAGCUCACUCUCAAUGGGCAUCAACCACCCCUUCCCAGUCAGUACUAUCUGGACGUCCUGGGCUCCAACCAGGGCUAGUUUCUUUGGUUGGGAGGCGGCUUGGAACAGACUACUCACCACUGAUCGCCUAAAGAGAUUUGGUUGGAACAUCCCCAACAGGUGCUUCUUGUGUAAAAAUGAGGAGGAGUCUAUUGAUCACCUUCUCCUGUUUUGUGAGAAGGCCAGAAUGUUAUGGUAUCUAACCUUCUCCCUUUUUGGGGUGCAAUGGGUGAUGCACUCCUCUGUGAAAAGGAAUCUCCUGGGAUGGUAUGGAUCUUUUGUGGGCAAGAAAAGGGAGAAAGCAUGGAAAACUGCCCCCCUUUGCCUAAUGUGGACUAUUUGGAAAGAAAGGAAUAGAAGAGCCUUCGAUGAUGUGGAAAGAAACGAUCAAGAUAUCAAAUCCAUUUUUUUGUACACUUUUGUGAAUUGGGCUAGGGUAUAUAUUAAGGAUCAUACUUUAUCGUUGUUUGAUUUUGUAAACUGGUUAGCCACCAAGUAAGGGUCAGAACCUUUUGUUUCUUGAUCCUUUGUAUCUUGGUAUACUUCGUGUAUACUCUCUUUAGCCUUUUGGCUUUUAAUGAAUUUCCUUUAUCUAUCAAAAAAGAAUAUUGAAAAAGCGCAGGAAACUAUCAAACAAUAUUUUAUGUUUAAUUUUUAGGAAUGGGUGAAGGUGUAUGUAGAAGAUUGCCCUUUGUCCAUCUUACACUUUGUUGAUUGGUUGAGCUCUAGCCUCUAGGUAGUGGGUGGUAGCUGGUUUUUUUUUUCUUUUUCUUUUCUUUUCCCCGUUUACUGUGACUAUGUGGGGCCUUUUGGUACCCUUGUAUACAUCAUGUAUUGUUAGGCAUUGUCUCAUUUGAUGAAUAUAUUUUUCUUUGUCUAUUAAAAAAAAAAAUCAAAUAGGUGGACUAGAGCUUCAAUUUUUUAGGAUUUAAGGAGGGAAACAAGAAAUAAAUUCUAGCAACAGGCAAAUAAGAAACCUUAGUCGCCAUCUUUUGGCACUUCUAAUGCAAGCCCUUUAUUUACCUAUUAAGAAAAAAAAAAAA
rnacentral:lncRNA from 1 species